ensembl:lncRNA
GGCGAAGCUGUGCUGAGACACCAGGCAAACCCAUUUUCCUGGGCCUGUUCCCACUCUGCUGUCACAGAUCUCAGUGUUACAGGCACAGAGCAGACCCACAUGGGAGCUCCCCAUGCACUCCAGGACACAAAUCCCCAGGGCAAGAAGAAUCUCAGCAAUCAUGACAGAGAUACACAUGGGGGGCUCUCCCCGUGCAGCUCCUGUGCAGCUUUCACAGCCAUCUCCAUGUUCAUUAUCAGGGUCAUUCCAUAUCACUUGGGAAUUUGGCCUGUUUCUUCAUGUUAAAGAUAAAUAAUUCAGGCACUGUGUGUUUAGUUCUCCAAAGCACAAUCAGUUCUCCAUCAUCCGAAGUGCAUGGGACAGGCUGGGUAAUGGAAAGCCUCAUCUGGUGCUGCACACAGCAAGGAGAGCAAGGGAAAGGCAAGGCCAGGAGGAUGGAUUUACGCUGCCUUGUACCUCUGCGGGAGGCGUUCAGACACAUAUUCUUGGGCUGCUCUCCUCGAUCAAUCUACUGAAAUCAUUAAAACUCUGGGCUUAAUGAAUGCAAAUGCAGUGCUGCAGGAGGGAAGUUGGUUCACCAGGGCGCACUCUGAGCUGGAAUCGCUCCAUUGACUGAAACUGCCGGGAGAUGUCUCUUUAGAUUCAGUCCUGUGAGUCAGGUGGGACUUGGGAUGAUCACGACAAUCUUUGGCCUAAAUCUGUGCAGACAUAAACCUUAUUAAUGCCAAUCAAAUGAAACCGUCCUCAUAUUUCAGAGACCCACAAAACUGCCUGGGGAAGAUGGGGAAUUGUGGUACAUUCAUCAGGAAAAGUCCAGUUCUGGGAACAGGUUCGUUUUUAAUAAGGUUAAGUGUGCAUGCACUUACACAAUUGAGUUAACACAGCCAUGAGCAGUUUAUUUAAAGACGUACUGCCUAACACAGCUUUCUGGUGCCUUAAUGAUCACUUCCUAAUAUUGCUGCUAUAAAUACUUCCAUGAUUCACGUCUCCUGCUGCGGAACAGGCAACGAAUCUCCAGGAAGGAAGUACAGAACUGGAUCUUUUUUUUCUGAAAGGUACUCCUUGGAGUUCUAUUAUAACUCCAUAUAAUUUGUGCCAGAAAGUCGUUCACAGGAAACGUAUAAAAAAUAGCCAAUAAAGAUGGCUUUAUUUUUCAAGUGCUGGCAGUAGAAAAUGCACCUCUGAAAUCCUCCCCUGGGAUGUUUGCCGGUCUUUGUGUUGCUGUACUUCUGUGAGACACUGCUGGUGUCACACCAGAAAGCAGCAGUCUCCAUUGGUCUCCGUCCCGUGGGGCUUUGCCAGCUUUAUUUAUCCUCGUGAGAGUAAUGGAUCCCUUAAAUGAAAGGAUCAGGUAGGAGGCUGGAAGCAAUCUCUUCCCAGCUCCUUAUUAAUAGCGGCAACCGUUGCCAGAGGGCAUUGUGGAGCCCGAAAGCAUAACCGUGUUCAAAGAGGGAUUAGACAAAUUCCUGAAUGGCAUUUGCCUGGGCAGCUGUUAAACCCGAUAAUCUCAGUGCAAACCUCCUGUUGAGGAUGGCCCUGAUCCACGGUUUACCAGGGACAAGGGAACACUGAGGGUGGAGUGACUGCUGUGCUGCACGUCCUGCCCUCACCGCGUUGUGCCACAGCCUCUGCUGGCCCUGCCAGCCCUGCAGUGCUGGCUGCAGCUCUGCAUUGCCAGGAAAUGGCAGCAGGAGCCCCACUGCUGUGCACGCACAAAGUGUGCCGUGUUAACAGCAAGAGAGGGAAAGCUGUGACUUCUCCCUCACUAUUUCUUGAAACAUUUCUGGAGGAGCUGAGCUCCCUCUUGCCGGGUUGCUUCCAUCAGGUGAUGUGCAGACACCGCUGCCUUGUCCACCUAACAUGGAAAGAAAGAGAAGUGAUUUCUUGCACUCCUAUUGAGUUGUAUUUGAAUGAAAGGCGGCAUUCAUUACUGGGGAAAGAGUCAUGGGAAAAUCCAAAAGCUGCAUCACUGAAAGAGAAAAAUCCCUGAAGCUCACUGCAGAAGCCAUAGACACAUCCCGUAGAGCACCCAACAGUUAACAUGUAUAUUCUGGACAGGGAGGAAUGGGAAGGAGAUGGGAAGGAGAAAACAAGGAGGAGGAAAGGAGAUGGGAAGGAGAAAAUAAGGAGAAGAAAAGGGGAAGGGAAGGAGAAAGGAAGGAGAAAGGAAAGAUGCCCCACUGGGGUCAUCAGCAUCUCACAGCUCUCCUUUCUUGGUGCCAGAGGUGUAGCUCCUGAGCUGGCCGGGGGUGUCCUACAGAAAUAUAAAUAUUAAUUAAGAGCAAGAAUUACAAUCCAGGUCAUUGCAUGGGUCAAUCCGAGCUCCAAGCUUUGUGAGCAUAACUAACCUGCUGUAUUUUUAUUUAGGGGGGAAACAAAUCCUGGUCUCUGGAGGUGUGCUGAGGAUCACUGCACCUUACCUCCUGCAGACGCUGGAUCUGGAGCUCUGCUCCAAAUGAAGGUCCCACUGCAGUGGAGCUGCAGGAAUGCCCCAGCAAGGCAAGGGUCCAUCUGGUCCUGCUUUUCCACGACUCCAUUCACGGAGGGAAAAAGUUAUGGAGAAUAAUCAAAGAAAAACAUAUAACAUGAUAGCUAAUAUUUCAUGGUUGUGUGACAGCUCAGAAUUCAUUGCUGUGUUGCGGAGCACUGCAGUGCAAACAGGAGCAUAGGAAAGUCAACUGCACUGCGGGCUUUGCUUCCUACCCACCUGCUGGGUUUUUGGCACUGUGUCUGAUGGGAAUAUUUGCUCUCCGUGUGGUGACAGCGUGAAUGCCAUCGUUCCAAGGAAGAGCCCAUUGAGCCCCCACAGGUUAGGAGUGGGGGUGCAGCAUCUCGCAUCCCAUCCCAUCGCAUUCCACCCCAUCACAGCCUUUGUGAGGUUUGGGCUCUGGCUGGCAGUCGUGUGCCACGAUCAGCACAUGUGUUUGUACAGCCAGGCAAGAUCUUCUCAUCAGAGCAACACCCCUCCUCUUUGUUCAUUUAUUUUUGAAGGGAGAUUGCCCCACUGAACCUCCCACUGACCCUGCUUCUCUCCACGUGGGAGACCAGAGAAAGGUUAUUUUCAGUCACUAAAGGUUUUACAUGCUUUAAAAUAAUAAAGUCUGGUGAAAAAACAUUCUACCUCAGGCAUGAACUUUUAACGACUCCAUUUCAUAAUCUUUUCAAAGAAAGAUCCCUGUUAAACUAACCGAGACUUCCAGCUCUUUUUGUUGCUGGCUUAAAGAGCUGGCGCUGAAUGCUGCUCAGCGCUAUUUGCUCUGCCCAAUUCCCCCUGCAGGUUUUGCUAAACGUUAUAGUGUGACACAGUACAGACUCUUAGUGACAGUGACAUCGUCUGCACAUAAGAUCCAGGAGCCAUCAGCCUCACGUGUAUGUGAAGAUUAUAUUCCAGCGUGAUGUGCAGCGUGCUUGGUUGGCUGCACUGGAAAGAUUUCCAGAUAGCUAUCGAUUUUCCCAUCCUGUAAUUAGUUCAGAGAUUACUAGCAUAGAAAAUAUUGCUCUAGAAAUUGAUUUCUGUAGUUGUUCGUUGCACCAAAACUAUAGUAUGGCUGCGAAGCACGUCACAUGUUGUCUGCAGACUUUGAACUUUGGAGAAAUGCUGCCACAGUAAACCCCAAGGAGAAAUCACAUGGCUGGUGAUUUUGCCAUCUCAGAUUAAGUGAAAUCCUGCCAGCUAUUUGAAUUUCAAAGUUCAUCCUUAUAGAUCUUGCAGGAUUAAGGUCCAAAGGAGAGACUGCCUCUUAUCUUGUAACUGAGAGCACCUGUGAGGCUGAGUGGGUCAGGAUCCAAGCAAGCAUCAUAUGAUGGUACAGUUCUGCUGUGCAGGGAUCCUGUUGUGCUGGGACAGGUGCUCACCACUAUUUGUCAUUAAUCUGUGCCCUGUGCUCCCUGUCACCCUUUGCCCAGUGCCCCUAUGGAGAGGUCCCAGAUCCACGAAGCAUCCUACAUCCUACAUGCAUCCCAACAUAGGCAGCACUUGGCUGGGAGCUCUGUGCACCCCUGGGGAAUGGAAACCCCUCCGCCCCUUUUUCCAGUCCACAGAACUACCCUUAGUCACCAUCACGAUGCAGAUGCUGCAGUGCUAACAGCCAGCUACCAAAGCUCUCAGGGUGCAACCUGCAGCAACACGUUUCCUGGCACUUUGCUCGUCUGCUCCCCACCAUGGCCUCAGUGCUGAUGCUUUGCAAGGGUGAAGUUUGUACCCUUUCUGCUGCUGCUGGAGUCAUUUAUGAGUGUAGUAAAUGCCAAGCAUGCCAGUUCCCUGCCCUGGACUAUACCCUACUUAUCACAGGUUGCUGAGCAUUCCACAGAAUGCCCCAUCAGCCAUAGCUCUGAAUAUGUCCCAAGCCAUUUUCUCUCCCUUCCCAACCCUACAGCUGAGCCCCAUGCACCAGGAAGGAAAGCACGAUACACCCAGGAGCAUCUCUAACUUGGCAGCAGAAGCCGUCCUUGCACGUGCCAUUUCCUCCUUAUAAUUAAAGAGAAACUUAAUCAGCUCAACAUCUCAUCCCUGAAGAACGAGAUGCUCAUUUGCACUUGGCGUGCUGUCAGAAGGCGGCAAGCUGCAGCACCUCCUGCAGUCAGCAGAGGAAGAUGUGGGUCCCAGCAGUGUCCUUGUCCUGCAGGUCCCAUGUGCCCAUCACAAGGCUGCACCACUCCACCAGGCUCUUCACAGCUCAUCUCCCCAGUUAGUGCCUUUUCUGGUUUUAAUUCCCUUCCAGGGUGGUAAAGGGAGAUGAUAGGAAGGGGAUGGCAGUGCUGGAGCACAGAAAAGCAGAACAGAGUCGUGGCAGUGGCUCUGUGCACUUGGGCUUUCAUUUUCCCAUUUGCUCACCCAAAACUUUGUGAAUGAGGGGCAUGGGAAGAAGCAGACUGCUGCCCAAGGGCAGAAGCAAACAUACAAAUCCCCAUCCCUUUGAGACAUCCCACGGUACAUCCAUCCCCAUCCCUGUGUCCCUGCACUGCCCCUACCUGGCAGCCAGAUGCUGCCCCACUGAGCAUGCCCUGGUUCUGCCAGAGCUGCAUUUUCUACCACUGUGUUGCUUCUACGCAGCAUUUUUCCAUCUGUAAUUACAGCCAAUGAAAGAAGUCUCCUCCCUUCUUGGGAAAACCGAUCGCUCUCAUGGUGGUGCCUGGGUGGGACACGGCUCUGUGCUGAGUGAUACAGUGUUGUUGCCCACAUAGGGUGGGGUGACUUGCUUAUGGAAAACAGAAGAAUUACAUCUAGUGAAACCCAACUUCCUCUUCCAAAGAGGCUGUUACCUCUCUCUGGCUGAGUAAUGGCAGUUGGGAAACCCCAAAGAAGACAACGAGGGCACAGUUACAAAGGGAUGUCAGGAUUACUUCAUUGAAGGGCACAAGUGUACCCAGCGUCAAACAAAUCAGUUGAGUCACUUCUUUACAAAGAUUGCAAAUUAAGGAGGUUGGGCAGACAGCAAAACCCCCCAGAGCUGCAGUAUUUGCCUAUUCUGUCGCAGUCAGAAAAAUUGGCUGUGAGAAGUUUUCUUCCAGGACCCGUGACAUCCCAAAAGGAAGAAGUCAUGCUUAGUCUUAAAAACCCCAAACCUCUCAAUAACAAAAUAUAGGCAAAUGGGGCAAUUUUUUGGUUUGGUUGAGACAGUGUUUCUGCUGCUGUUUAAUUCCCCAACGCACUCAGUUCCAGUGAAAGCUCAGGCAAUGCCUCAGGGGAUGGGAAGCGCUGCAGUGAAAGUAAAUUCAGCAAAGCAUGAGUGCCACGGGGCAUCCUCUGUGUGCAGCUGCCGGUGUCAGACGGGGCCACAAAUUCCCCUCCUGCAAGUGCAGCUGUUGCAUCAGCACAUUUUUAAUCUUUGCGGAAAGAAGCGUUACAGCCGUGAGCAUUAUGAUGCAAUGAUCCUGCACGAGAAAGGCAUUGGAGAGAAGGAGGUGAAAAUGGGGUGUGAUUCUUUUUCUCCCAAAGCAAUGCUGGGGACGGGGGAGUCAACUGAUUCUCCAGGAUGUGGAUGGCCACGAAGUGUCUCACCCCAAGAAUACAUCUUCAGUUGCACCGGGGAGAUUCAGGUUGGAUAUUAGGAAAAAUACGUUCUCUGAAAGAUGCAGUGGCACAGCUGCACAGGGGGAGGUGGGGUCACCGUCCCUGCAGGUGUCCCAGAGCUGUGGAGAUGUGGCACUGAGGGAUGUGAGCAGUGGGCACAGUGGGGUGGGCUGGGGUUGGACUCGGGGAUCUUGGAGCUCUUUUCCAACCAAAAUGACCCUGUCAUUCUGUGAUCUAAUCUUUGUGUACCUGAUUCCUCCUCGCAUGAGGGCAGAGGAGUUGGCACUGAGGGAAUCCCCCAGCAAGCACCGGUCUCCACAGCCGUGCACUUUUGGGGUUAGCUCAUAACACGGCUCAGCAUGCAUUUUUGGGGUUAUCCACACCAUUUCCAAGGGCAGAGAAAGUGCAGGAGGUGUCCUCACACCCGAGAACUGACUUGAGUGCAUUCCCCAUUCCUCGUCUCCCCCCUGUAUUCCUGUCAGGAUAAAGACGGGCACAUUGUUAGACCAGUCUCACUCUCCCAUCUAGUGGAGAAACAAGGAAAGGUCGUCCUAUUAAAAUAAGCGAAUAAAAAUGCAGGUUUCUGUUGCUUUUAGCAGGGAGAGGUAUGUGGGGGGUGGGCGCAUGGUACUGUUCUCACUGUGGGUUCUGUUAACCUGUAGGAAUGUCACAGACCUCAAUAGAGAGGAAAAGGCAUUAAAAUGCAAAGAGACCUCUGAGUUGUUCCCUGGGCCUGGUGGGGUGUAGGGCUUCCCUGCUCUGGGUAUAAGGCACAAAGGAAAGCCCUGCACACCUCUGGAUGUGUCCCCACAGAACACUGGCAGCUUGGGAUGGAGGCAUGCACGGCUCCAGCAAAACAGUGCUGUCACUGAGCAGGUGCCAAAAAGCCGUGCAGCGGGGCUGCAUCUUCACACGAGCAACUUCUGACCUUCAAAUAACCCUCACUGCCAUUCAGGCCCCGUGCACUGAACAGCUUGCAUGGACCGGACGGGAAACCGCAGGCAUUGCGGUUUCCCGUCCUCUCUGUGUGGUCGGGGCUGCAGAGCCUCAGUUCCCAACAGCACGAGAACCUUCUGCUCCCCGAGAUGGCUGUUGGAGUGGGGGCUGCUCAGAGCUGUGAGGCAGUGCUUGCUUUCAGCCGGAGCUGGGAGGGAGGAGCUGCACCCGUCCCCUUAAAAUUUCACACUUCAAUUCAGGUGCAAGAAAUCCCAUUCUUUCUACAAAGAACGGGUGGGAAACCAGCCUGGUCCACAGGCAACAACCAAUGCCAUGGGACUGCUGUUCCAAGGACAGGUGAGGAACUUAGGUCCUGCUGGCCCCAAUAUGGGAUGCUCCCACUGCACUCUGAUCUAGCUAAGACCUGAAAACCUGACCGGAACUGAUGCACACGCACUGGAGAUUUAUGUUCUCAUGUCAGAUCGAAGAUUCGUGGCAUUUCCUGGAAGGUUACAUGAUGUUUCAUUUUCAACAAAUAAGGUCAAAAGCACAAAGAAAUAAAUAAAAAAAAAGCAAUCUCUCUAGAUCAGCUGUUUGCAAACGCUGGCAGUGCAAGCCUGUGUGUUGCUGCUUGUACAGAACUGCUUUCCUGGAGCAGCGUGCUGCUGAACCCACACAGCCUGCAGCAGGAAACAGCCUCAGCUGGAACAGAGCCCUGGGAUGGGUGUGCUGCUCACCCACACGUUCAGAUUGAAUAAGAAGAGGUGCUGGAAGGGCAGAAAUUGGGCAGUCAUUGGCAUGCAGCAGCACAGACCCCUGGACACAUCCCUCCUUCUGCAGCAAUGUCACAGCUAGAGGAUCCAGGUGGGAUGUCCUGGGCUUGCAUUUCAUCCUGCAAAUCCUCCCAGCGGGACAGCCCCUGCUCCUACCCUUGAAAGCAUGUUUGCAGCUACAGCAAAUAAAAUAAGGUUAAUGAAAAGUCACUCUGGAAACACGGAAGCACAGUCAGUGCUGCUGCUGUGAUGCUUCAUUUGAGAUGCAGGGAGGUAAAGUUCUGCCUCCCACCAGGGGUGUCACUGGGGAAUAUUAUUUCUUCCUUCUCUAAAUGACAUGGCAUCGUUUCUUCUUUUCAGGUCACUGCCGACUUGGUGUCACCGUUUGAUUUUUCAGGAAGGCGUAGUCUUUACCUGACAGCGGUGGUUGCCUCCAUCCACCCUCCCACCCCCAAAACAGAGCUACAAAAAUAGAUUCACCUACAGACGAAGAGCAAAUAAAGAUGGCUCCCAGCACGUGAGUAGCUGAUGAGGAGCCACUUAGCAGACUUGGCGUAUUCAUCAGCUUCAGCACAUGAUCGUUGAUUGUGUGUCUGCAGCUCCUUUGUUCUUCUUUGCUCAUUAUAAUCGGGUCAAAUGGGAUGCACACAAACCCGUGGCGGAAAUGAUAAGAGCCAAUGGAGAUGGCCAUAACCAUGACCCAUCCCAACUGGAAAAUUACCAGUUAGGAUUUUUUACAGCCCAUCAAACGGAGCCAUUCCAUCCAGCAGUGAGAGGUAGGUCACUGCUAAUUACGGGGUGAAAUCCAGCUCUGCACAUUGCCCUGUGCCUCUCAUUAGCAGCCCGGGCUGGAAGACCCUUGCAGAAGUAGGGCAGGGUUUCAGGGUGUGCUUCUCCAGUGCAGACCGGUCCUACCUUACAAGUACCCAUCUGAAGCAGUUGAGGACUCAGCUGCAGUCUGGUGUAAGGGCAGAGUGGUGUAAGGGCAGAGUGGUGUAAGGCUGCUCUGUUUUCCCUGUCUGAUCCAGCCCAGGCACUGCAGUUCUUCUGGGCCCUUCACUCCCCACUCCUCCUGGCGCUGACCCAGUAAACCAGAUAGAACAGAGCAUCCUUCUCUCUUCACUUCUGGGUCAGAGGAAAAUGCUGUUAUUAGGCUACCUCUACUUUAUGGUCUUUUAAUUAUUUCCACCUCUGUGAUUAGACUAAUUAGCUAACUGGUUUGUAAUGGCUGCAUGGUAGCUCUCAUUACGUUUUCAUUAAUCACAGCAUCACUGAGUCUCGCUAAGAGUCCAGGAUUUUUUUUUUGCGUUAUGAUUUGAAAUUAUUCAAAGCAAAAGGAAUCUGAAGGGGGAAAAGAAGUCAAUAGGAACAGACGCAGUGUUCAUCAGCAUCUUGGCAGAGAGACUCUCUGGUAUAUUUAGAAAUGCUGUGAUUUACAAGAGCCCACCAGCCAUUUACUUAGCGUCUAGAAGACACGGUGAGUUUGAAGUUUCCAAUCACAGCAGUUUAAGGCACCUUCUCACCCUCUUUGAUUUGAGACAGCUGAGUGACACACUCAAAUGGGAUCAGAAAUAAAAGGACUGACAGCACAUUUCCUUCAUCCCAAGAGCUGCACCCAGCAACGCCUCAGCAUCCCUUCAUCACAUGGAGAAGUGUGGGACAAAGCAGGAAAGAGAUCUAAGAGGAGGUUAAGUUUUUGCUGCUGGAAAAACAUUACUCUGACAGCUCCCAAGGCUUUGCUAUAAAUCUUUAUCCACCAAGGCAAUUUGAUGUGCUAAAAGACUUCUUAAAAUAAUCAAAAUUAAGAACAAGGCAGCCCACAUUGGGUAGUUUAAGUACAUGCACAGGGGGACGUUCAUCACUGUGGUUAUGACAGAAGAUAAUAAUAAUAAUAAUGAGAUUUAACACCUACUUAACAGGAGAAACCCAAAAGCCUGUACAAACACCAAUCAAUUAGCUCUGCCAACCAGCUGUGUGCUGGGCAGGAUGAUGGGGGAGAAGAUAAUUGCCCAGAAAGCUGAAGAUUGCCAGCAGAGAAGGCAGAACUGUACUGCUGCUCACUGCCCUGCAGCUGCCGUGGGAGUGCUGUCAGACAUUGCUACUGCUGCCUGCACCAACACCGUGUGAAAUCCUCCAAGGAAACCUGUACAGAAGGGCAGAGCUAUGUCCUGACAUCCUGAAGGCUUUGCAAGGUGUCAGAGACAUAAACCAGGGAGAAACCAAAGUAGACUUUAUACAUCAGUCCUGCUUUAGCUUCUUAGAGCUGAAAAUUGGUCAUACUCUUUACAGACGGAGGUGCUAUAGAUCCCUAUUACUGGUCGUUCUUCUUCCUUUUCAACCAUCCUCCACCUGAUCCUGGUCAGGCUGGAUAUCAGGAGAAAUUCCUACUCAGAAGGAGCAGUCAUGCAUUGGUAGAGCUGCCCAGGGAGGUGGUGGGGUCACCAUCCCUGGAGGUGUUCAAGAAAAGGGUAGAUGUGACUCAGAGGGACAUUAGUGGGCAUGGUGGGAUGGAUUGGGGUUGGACGUGAUGGCAUUAGAGGUCUUUUCCAACCUUAAUGAUUCAAUGAAAACAGUCUCCAGCUCCAUAGCAUCCUGCAGCCUGCCCUGGGAACAGUGAUCCCUGCAGCUGACACUGAGCCAGAGAUAGCAGCAUCUCAGUGCUUACCCCCAGGCAGAAAGAACUCUGCACUGCACUUGCUUCUCUGUGACUGUCAGCUGCAGCCUGGGCAGAGCCAGCAGCCAGGUUCCAGGGAUGCCCAUGUGCCUCCCAUCUAUCCCAUGUCUGGCUGUGGCAUUUAAAGGCAGUGAGCACACAGCAGCAAACGCAGUGCUGCAGUGCUGUAUAAUUUUAGUGGCCGCUAAGUAACACUCGUAACUUUUUUAACACAAGGAACAAGAAUUUACAGUGCCAUUCAUGGGGGGGCUGUUGUAAUUAAUUGGGGCCCUAAGUGACCCAAGGCAUUUCCCCAACCUUCUGGCACCGUGGGAUGGAUGGGAGCUGCAUGCUGUGCUCACCGCUGGCUCCUGCUUGCAGCAGGGAGGGGAGCAGCAUUCUGCAUUUCCUGAGUAUAAAAGGCUGAGGAGUCCCCGUGACAAGCAAACCAUUAAAAAGAAAAAGGAACAAUAAUGCCAAGCAAAAUAUCGCUUCGGGGAAAAAUUUUGGCUUGCUUUUAGCACAGAUGUUGAUAUUGCAUGCUCGGAAAUGGCUCUGGAAAGUGGCAACGCUUUUGCAGUGUGCUAUGAGAUGGUGCACGGAGGCAACGAGCUGUGCUUCAAGGGGAGGAAUCGGAGCAUUUGAAAAUUAAAAGAAAUAAAAAGGAAAAGCCUUCUGAAAGAGAAGUUAUGAGGAGAGCUUCCGCACACUACAGCCCCCCCAAAUUAGUCUGUGGAGAACUGUCCUACACUUCUCUGCUCCAGCGGCAGUGGGCUCUGACAGGAGGAGGAUGCAAACAACAUAUGCGGGCUCUUUGGCUCCAGGCAAAGCUCUGCCAGAGCUCCCAAGGGUAAGCCCUUACCCAUAGAGAGCAGACACCCAUCCCCUGAAUGCCUGUGAAUGCAGUGAGGCCCCCUCCUGUGCCCUGAGUGCCUCCACAGUAUGUAAAGAGGUGUUUUUCACAUGAUGGGUGUCCUCAUUUCCAGCCCUGGAGUGCUCAGGAGGAGGGGAUCCCGGUGCCUUUCCGGGAUGAGGGAGGUGCAGGUCAUGGUGGGGUACAGUUUUUGGGCAUCCAAUGGCAGCGUGUGGCAAUGCUCGUGCAUCGUGCAGAGGUGAUUGCUUUGCACUUUGCAUAUUCCCUCUGUGCAAUGCGCUGGGAUUUUUCAUUGCAUCCAUAAUUCAUAUCCUGCUGCAGCAGUUCUAUGGAGGCAGCACAGGAUCUCAGCUCCAGCAUUAAGCAGGGAAGGAGAUGCUCUCAUCACCAGACAGCAAACCGGGCAGCUGGGGUGCAAAGAGCAUCUCUGCUCUGCACCAAUUGUCCUGCAGGCAGGGAUGCAAGCAGACAGUGAGAUGAGAGUGCCAGGGGUGACUGCAGGAUGGGUAGCAGCACAGGGCUGCCUGCUUGUCCUGCCCAGCCCUGUUUUACACAUGCAUGGCAUCAUGCAGUGCCAGAUGCCGGUGCACCACUGGUUUUUGUGGUAAAAAUGCUUUCUGGCCUGGAAGGUCACAGCCUUUGCUCACAAAGCCACCCACGAUCCCUCCCAGGCUGUGAGGCUUUCUCCUGCAUCUCCACUGUAACACAUGCACUGAAAAACCCUGUUUGUCAGAAAGCAAAGUGUGUCGGGAGAUUAAAAUGUAAAUGUUGCGCUCGGCUUUUCGGAGGGGGGCUGCUGGUUUAUUUGUGACGCUGCAGGAAAUAGGUUUUUGAUAACUGCAGAACUUCUCCCCAGCCGCUGCUGCAAACAGCCAAAGCCUCAAUAAAUAACUCCUACCGUUGAACACCAACGUGCUCAUGGUCUGGAGAAGUGCUGGGAAUCAUAGAAUCAUAGAACGGCUUGGGUUGGAAGGGACCCCAAGGAUCAUCAAGUUCCAACCCCCCGCCACAGGCAGGGCCACCAACAUCCAGAUGUGUUAUUAGGGGAGCUGUGAUUGAGGUUUCCUGCCCUUCCUUGGGCUGGGAGGGGUGCUGCAGAAGGGCCCCUUAGCAGUGCUGACUAUAACCACCGUAUAUUCUGUUUUUACCAUUUAUUGGCUUGGGAAUCUGGGGAAAGGUCUCUGCGGGAGUGAUAUGUUGUACUGUGUGAGGGUCACUCGUGAGCAUCAGAAUGAGGCGCUGAAAGAGAGCGUGGAAGGGGUUUGCAGGGUUUUGGCAUCCCCAGUGGGCACGCAUUUAGAUGUGUGAACCUUGGGAUAAGGAGCUCUUGGAUCACGGCUCUCACUUUAAAACUACAGCCAGCAUCAAUAUUCAUGGCUUUAAUACCAAAAAGGAUGCAAGGCUAAAUGAAGCAGGCUUGUGUAGUACACGGAGUAACCUGAACACGACUGCUGCGUUCAGGAGCGACCAGUGAGUCAAAAAUCUCUCCCAGCAUUAAUCUGGCAAAUGAUUUCAAACAAUGGAGAUGGAUAUGAGGAAGAACAGACCCCACGCUAACAGAGCCUGAUCUGUAAACUUGGCUACUGACUUUGUAUCCCUUAUGUAAACUCGGAAGAGUAACGUAUUUAUAGCCUCUUGACGUAAGUAUCCCCUGUGAAAUAUGGGAUGCAAUAAAUAUUCUGCCAUCUCAGGAAGCCUUUAGGACCAAACAGUACCGAGAUGCUGCAAAGACAAACCCUAUGCAGCUAACGAGUGUUGGGGAGCUGCCAGCCAGCUGAAAACAUCGCAAGUGAAAGCAUGGAAACAGCCUUGCUGGUAACGCGGGGAGAGUUUUAUUGACACAGUCACAAUGCAAGGUCACUGCAUAAUGCCUUCCAGCUCUUCGUGGCACCUUAACAAAUCCCUUCCAAGCAUCAGGUUGGGGUUUGGUCAGCUUUAUCCCAGCGUUUUGUUGUUGGUCAAUAAUUUCCUUCUGUUCUUUUUAUGUUUUUUUUUUUUUCCCUUUAUGAUGUAAAGAUGAGCUCUGGGCCCCUCUCCCUGUCCCAUGCUGCCAGCACUGCUUUUUACAGAAUUACAAAUUACGCAGCACUUCCACAUUAAAACAAAAUGAGUUCAUCACCGUUUUUAAAUAAGGAUGUCAUUUGUAAAUGCUUUAUUCAUAAUUAAUGGAAUUAUUGCUGGGUGCAGCCACAUUCCUCAUCCAUGUACUAUAAGAUCUGUUGUAAAGUGCAUUAGUAAAAAGCUUUAUAGAUGGGGAUAUGACAAGCUGACUGCACAGUAUGUUAUGGGAUGCGGUGUAGCAUUGUUGUAACAAUCUCUAUGCAAGAUUUUAAGCUAUCAGUCAGCUGGGGGCUGAUGGAUAGUGUAAAUGUUAAUAAUUAAUAAUAGGAUAAUGUUGAUAACUAAUUAAUAGUAAAUGAUGAGUAUGGAUUUUUUUAGUUAGCAUUAUGCUAAUAUGCAUUAUUCACUGAAUCAUAAAAUCAUGUUAGAGAUGAGAAAGUCUCGCUGGCUGUCUCCAGCUCUGUCACUCAUGAGUGAAUGCUGCUCUUUCAAAGCAUUUUCCAAAUGGCAAUUUUCCUCCAGCUUUCUGGCUCAAAUCACUUGGCUAAGAAGCAUUUAGAAAAAGAAACACAACGUCAGAGCUCUGCAUAACUGUGCACCAGAGUAAUGUGUAGCCACGGCCUUUGGGAUGUGCGUAGGACAAACCUACCUGCCCUAAGAGUGACCCGCUGCCUCCACAAGGAAAUCAUUCACAAUGAAGGAAUCAGCUCUGCAGAUUUCUUUCAAUCCUAUGUGGCAUCCUCCUGCAAUUUAAAGCCAUUAGGCACGCUUACCUUACAGUGAGGGUAAGAGAAGGUCCUUGGGCUGGGGAGCAACACAGGGGUUGCGUGAAGGUGGUGAUGCAGCAGAAAGUUUAGCAGAGAGCUUUAAGGGUGGCUCAACACCAUUUUCCAUCAUUUUUUUUUCAGCUGGCGUUAUCUCUUUUUCUAUGUCCUAGGCAGGAUCAAAGCCGGCUUGACAUCAUGCUGGCUGCUCAGGGGAUGGGAAAUGCCGAAGGCAGCAUCAACUCUGGGAUUUAGAGCCUUAUGCAGUCCAAUGGCCCUGGGAGGUUCCCAGCAGGGAUAUCGCCAUCUCCAGCCUCGUUGUGGCCCAUUCAUCUCAAGCUCAGGUGGGUUUCCAGAGCACUGAAUCCAUCACCUGGCUCAUGUCUGUCCUCACUGGACCAAAUGGGUAGUUCUCCAUCUCUGGUUCCAAAGACUGAGAUUCUGGAUAGCUCCUUCCUGGUGCUCAGCUGAUUUGUAGAUAACCACAGCCAAAGGCAUAAAGUAUAUUGAGCACUCUGGGGUUCUCGUGUCCUUGAUGAGGAGGGAUGCUCUUGUACCUUCUUACAAAACUGGUUCCUUAAACCAUGCCCAUACCCGCCCUGGUUCCCACCCUCUGACAAUGCAUGAGCAUGUCCUAAGGACUAGUGCAAGAGCAAACCUUGGCAAGCUAACCAACGAUAGGUGAUGCUGAUGUUCUCUUGUUGAAGGAACUAAUACAGGGAGUUUUCUUUUGAAAAAUGGGAGUCCUAUGAGUUGAUCUAGCUUGCCUUUCCUAUCCCUCUUCCCUUCCCUGCCUCUCAGAUCGGGUGUUUGGCUUUUCAGCGCUUUCACUCAAGCCAAAUCUGCAAGCACAUUUUUGGGUGGAUGUCACCAGGAUCCACUUCGUCCUGGCCCACAGACAGUCUGUCUCUUAUCUCACUUACAUUAGUAUCAAUUAUUUACAGCAGUAAUGUUAAAUCAUGAAAACGAGGUUGCAGCAAAGCUGUGCCUUGGCUAAUGCCCCAUGCUGCCUGCAGCUUUUGGAGCCCUUGCGUUGUCUGCAUUUAACCUUCCAGAGAUGUGAUCCUAGAUAUAUUCCAUAUCUCAUGGCUGCAGGUUAGAGCAGGGGCAAGGCACCCACAUCCUCUAUGGCAUUUCUCUCCUUCCUUCUACCAGUGCCAUAGCACUUCUCAUAGUCUAUCAUUUGGGGGAAAGAAGCUCCCUCUGUGUUCACUCUGAUGCCAUGAGCUCUGAGCAGCGUGCUCAUGUUGGCACACAGUCCCUCACCAACUCCUUCAACAACUGCCUGCAUAAGGGAUUUUUUUUUUUUUGAUUCAUAGUAUUUAACCAUGAAUAUUUAAAAUCUCUGUUAAAUAGGGUUGUUAUACAGCUUAGAACAACAUAAAUACAAGUGUCUGGGCUUUACUUUGGAUCCAGGACAGCAGAAGUGCUUUACCUCUGAUGGAAAGUGCACCACUGAGUGAGGUGACGCUCAGUCUCUUGACCUUGGAACAGUGCCUACUUUUAGACUUCCAGUAACUCAGUAUUUUUCAGCUAAAUCCCUGCUUGCACCAGAGGAGCAAUCCUUUUCUAGCUGUGCUUCAACUGCUCACCUGGCACAUUCCCGCUCUGCUAGCUGCAGUUCUGGGAAGUGAAAAGAAACCUGAGGAGGUAAAAAGAAUGAAAAAAAAAAAAUGAAAUUUGGAUGUAGAUACUGUGCAGGAAGUGAGGUGACCCCUAAAUCAUAGAAUUAUGGAGUCAUAGCACCAUUAACAUUGGAAGAGACCUCUGAGAUCCCCAAGUCCAACCCCACCCCAUCCCACGGUGCCCACUGCCCACGUCCCUCAGUGCCACAUCUCCACACUUCCAGAACACCUCCAGGGACAGUGACUCCACCACCUCCCUGGGCAGCUGUGCCUCUGCAUCACUGUUCUUUCUGGAAAGAAAUUUUUCCUAAUAUCCAAUCUUAUCCUUCCCUGGUACAACUUAGACAGCUGCCUGCAUGGUCCUGUUGAGCUGAGGCAGAGCUUGCCUUGGCCAGGCCUUUCCCAUUGCUCAGGGGAUGCUGAGGCAUUGAACAAGCUCCGAGCUCAGCAGGUUCUCUGCUGUUGCUCACCCAUGGGAUUUAGGGGAGAUGCAGGUGUCCCCUACAAGGGAGGAUGGAGAACAGGAAGACUGUUUUAAUUUGUCACUUCAUUAGCCCUGCCUCUGCUUGACCCUCCUGCUGUUAUAUCAGCCUGACUGUUUAUUUUCCUCAUAAAACUAAAACAAGAUCGAUUGCUUUGUCCCGAGGCCCUUUAUGCGUCUUGGUGCCCACUGCAGCCCUGCCGUUAGCAGCAGGCCUAAUGCAAAUUGAAUCUUUGGGAAACGGGCAGUUUGGAGCUGCCCAUCUUCCUCCUCUUUCCUGCUAAAGUUUCAUCUAUUGCAUUUAAAAUAGAAACUUUAUCUAUUUAUUCUAAACAUAAAUAUGCAAUUUUCUUGCUGUCUAUAUGUGCACGGCGUGUCUCUGUUGUAGACACAUAUAUGCGAUCAAUAACCAUCUCUUGCUGGGGAUUUAAAUAUUAGUUUUCCAAAUCCAGUCUAGAGCACCAGAUUUAUUUUUAUGAAAAUAUACCCUUUCUUGCUUAAGGAGGGAUAUUAAUUAUAGAUGCAAACCCAUAAAUCUUCCGGAUUUAGGUGAGAUAUUUGCUGGAUUAUAAAUAUGAAUUGGAGAUGAGGGUCUUGCUCUUCCUAUUAUUACUAUUAUUAUUACUUACUGGUUAUUAUUUCGGUGUGAUCAGUAUCUUCGGGUGGGUCAAAUAUUGCUGGGGAAUGGGGAGCUGAGCCUUCAGAGGGUGCGCAUGCUGAAUUCAUUAAAAUGUUUUCUAUUCCACCCUUGCUCUCCACUGCGCUUCGCAGCCCGGUGAGUCAUUAAACACCCUGUUCAGAUCACUUCCCUUUCUCUCCAUCCUUCUUUUGGUACCUGUUUUCAUUGUGCUGCUUUUGCCAGAUCAUAUCAAGCUCCCUAGUGUUUAUUAAUAAUGUCCCACAUGCUAUUGACAAUGUGCUGUUGUUUCCGAGGGUCUGCUUCAAUACCAGUCUUGGGCAGCAGUGAAACCAGCGGCCAUCAGAGAGCCCAGACUCACCCAGGGCUUUGGCACAGGUAACAAUAUUCUUCUCCAUUUAUUAUGACAAGUGUGGGAACAAAAGUAGUGUGCCACAAGUACUGAUCCCUUCCAACUCAAAACGUUCCAUGACUCUAUGAUAAUUGCACAUUUCUUGCUAAUUCAGUGCAAACUGAGAUAGGAGUAAGUCACAGUGAUUCUCCCAGCCUUCACCAAGUGCUCCAAAGCCAAGAGGCAUUUCUAAAUCCCAGUUAACAGGAGUUAAAUGGAAGACUUCACCAAGAACCUCAGGGCUUCCUGGUUCCCUGCUGAUCCUUCAACCAUGGGAUGCAAAAGGUGAGAUGCUCGCGGGCAUUAGCAGCAGCAAGAGGCAUGGAGCAAGGCUGGUGUGCAUCAAGAGAGGUUCCUGCAGGCAGCUCUGGCAAGUGCAGCAAUGUAGGGGGCUGCUGACCAAAGGAAAGCACAUGGUGGGAUCUCAAGUUGAUUUAAUGUAACACCGUACCCUGAAAUUAAUAGGACCUUGCAUGCCAGGACUGAAAAGAUAGGGCACUGUGUAAGGUCUGCUUUUUUAAAUUAGAGUCCCCUGCUUAAAUAAAUUAAGUGAGCUGUCAGUAUAUUAAAUGAUUUAAUGCCUUCUCCAGUUUUGCAGUGGAAUCCUAAUGAAAAUACUCUUCAGUAUAAAACGCUGGAUAAAUUAAAUGGUGAAGUGUUUUAAUAAAUGGUCUGUUGUUAUGGUGAACCACAUUAAAGUAAUGUUUAUCUCUAUGGUAAUGAUGUUGCCCUAGCUUUAAAACCAUUUCUGCUGGUUCAGGCUUCUUCAGAUAAAAUAUAAACACUGAGCUGUUGUCCAGUUUCAAAAGCAUCUGCACAGUUCCUGGACCCAAACCUGAAAUCGAUGGCAGUCGUGCUGGCUGGCCAACACAGGGCUGGAUUCAAUGGAUUCAAGAGCAGAGGACUCUUGCACAUUUGCUCUGUGAUGUCAGCAGGGGGAUGAGGCAGAGCCUCCAAGCUGCAAGGGUGAAGCCCUACACGUACACUGGGACGAGUCUGGGUAUUAAUGAACUACAGUGGAACAGUGAGUAGGCUGUGGAGGGGCUUAAAAUCUUUGCUGAUCUCAUUACAGGUUAAGAUAACAAAUUAUAUCUCUUUUAUAUCCUUUAUAUAAGGUAAAGGCCUGCUUUUAAAGGUAAAGACAUUACGAGAAGAUAAAGUCCCUUUUAUAUAAAUUGGUUAUAAAACAAUUUUUAUUUUCUUGCUUUUGGAUAUCAGUUCUUAUUUGACCUCUUUCACUCAUCACAGUAUUUCUUUGGAAGGAAAAUUCUCCCCUCAUGCUAUUUUCAGAGCCUGAAAACCCAGAAAUAACAUCUUAGUGCCCAAAUUAAUUUUACAUUAAUAAUAAUAGUAUUAAUAAAAUAUACCUGCUUGUCCCCAGCUGCACUGUAAGAUGUCACUGGGGCUUACAAGCCAGCCCCAGGAGAAGCCAAAGGGUAGUUCUGGAGAUGCCCAAGAGUCGUCUGCACCAAAGGCUUUUGUGAGGAACUUCCAUGAAAGGAGAAAUUCCAGCAGCUUCUGAACCACAGAGCCAUUCCUCUGGCAGAGCUGAGGUGCCUGCGAGAGUCACCACUGAGGCUGACCACGAUCCAAAAGGAGGGGGUCGUCCCACUCAGUGCUCAGGGAUGAUGUCUUAAAUACUCAUAAUUAAGGCCAUCAAGAAAUCAGGGAAGGAGAAUCCCGUUCAUGCCGUGUGGGUCUCUGAGUGUUCAUUUAAAGAGUGAUCUUUGGUGGAUCUGAGAUAUACAUAAAAACAAAACAAAAACAAAUCCAUAUGAAUUUGAAAUGGUGAAAGAUGGUGAAACUGCUUCUUAGGAAGUGGUUCUGGUGUUGGUUCUGUCCGUUUAAGAAGUUCACCUGUCCCAGCAUGAAUUUUGCAGUGUCAGCUUGCAGUUACCGGCUCUUUUUAUUGCUCUGUCUGCUCGAUUGAAGAGCUUUCCAUUUCUGUCUGUCUGAGCACAUCUGGAUUGUCAUUAAGCCAUCCCUUAACCUCCUCUUUGUUAAGCUAAGCGCACUGGGGUCCUUGAAUCUGUCACUAUAAGGCAUGUCUUGCAAUGCUUCCGUCAUUCUUGUGUGCCUCCUCGGAGCCCUCUCCCAUUCAUCAACAUCCUUCUUGAGCUGCAGACACCAGAAAUAGCUGCAGGGUCCCAGCAGAUGCUACACCAGAGGUAUUCCACUCUGCUAUUUGUUUGAGCUUCCAGCGCUGUGCUAUAGGAUCCCUCCUCCCCCUGAAUGCCAUGAAAUUCCAGUUCCCAAGUGUGGCUUUGUAUGUGCCUGUGUUGAACUGGGUGGUUUUUUCUUCAAUCUGAUUCAGGAGAAGGCUGAUCCUCAGCCCCACCAUGAUCCAAAUCGAACUCAUCAGCGAACUUUGAUUGUAAUUAGUUUUGAUUUUCUACCAUUUUGCUAAAAGUGAUGAACUGAAACACAGCCACUUGUGAUGAGUGUCUGCACGCAGCCGUACAUUUAAACAUAUCAGUGGGGUUUUCAUCCGUUUAGUGCGUGCCGUGUUGAUUUUACAUUGUUUUAGCUUCCUAAUAAAUGAGACAACAUUAAGUCAAAUGCCUUGCAGAAGUCAAACGUAACAGUGUUGAUGAAAUGUACUAAAUCAAUCAAAUCUAUAAUCACAUUCUUGAAAAAUUAUAUCAAUUUCAUUUAAUAAGAUCUAUUUUCCAUUAACUCAUGUUGAUUGUAAUUAAUUAUUCUCCUUAAAUUGUUAUUAAUCAAGUCCCCUAUCAGCUCUUCCAUUAUUUCUCACAAAAUCAACAUCAGAUAAUCAGAUUUAUAAUUACGAGCGACAUUCCUACGCUGGCACAAAGUCAGCAGCACUCGGGUGUGCUGCAUUCUUGGAGUCCGGGGCACGAGUUGGAGCUGGAGGUAUUUCACACAGUCCUAUGACAUUGCUAAUUUACUUAGCUUUUCCCCCGAAAUUAGAGGAAUUAAAUAUUUAGUGUCUGCCUUCUAUGUAUUUUCUAUUUAUCAUCUGCUAUUCUGUCUAGACAACCACACUCAGCCACUGAUAUCUAAAAACCACAUCCCUACUGCUCUUGGCUCUGCUAGCAGAGGUCUCACCUGCUGGCCUUCUGCUUGCUGUUGGUUAACACAUUUUCCCUUUGUGUGAAGGUAGACCUCCCCUUCCUCCCCCCCGAGUCUCUGCUUUAACCAGAAUAACCUUCUCUCUCUGAGCGCUGAGAUUUCACUAGAUGCCCUAAAAGCCAGAGUGCUUUUAAACAACGAGUUGCCAAAUAUCACACACAUUUUCUCUUCAAAAUCCUCCAAGUGACCUGGCUUACAGUGUUGAAAAGAAAAAGUGUCUGCUAUCUGCUCAGGCUUCGUUCUGUCUGAGCCCUGCACAUAAGAUGGAAAUGGCAUCCCCUCUGUGUUGGCUGUAAGUGGUUUUUAGAGCUGCGAUCAGCUCUUCAGCUGUGAAGACAAUCCUGCAGAGAAUCCUCCUGAUUUUGGUUAACAACGGCAUUUAUAAAUUCCCAAAAUUGGCAACACAAGCCCUCCAGCUCACAGCAUUCAAGUUCAGGUUUUCCAAGACACUCUACAGGAAUUUUCCUUAAAUGUUUCUGGUUUCUGGUGAGAUUUGAGCAGUGUCAUCCAUUGGCUUUUACUUGUACUUGAGGUCACUUUCUCUUGAGCUCCCAGUGACUUGGAUGGCAGCAAUGUCACUUCUGGUAUUGAUUGUCCCUCCUACACCUUCUUUGCCCACUCAGUUUCUUUUUUUUGCAAAUAGGUUCCAGCUAUUGAUUUUAAUAUUCCAGGCACAUGGAUUUUCUCCCCAAGUUUAAGUCAUGCUCUCCAGAUAGAAUUUGUACUCAUAAAUUAGUCGUUCCCACUCUUUUUUAUGGCUCAGCCUUCCUGCGCUACCGUAGAGGCAAUUAAAGUUCUUCUCCUCGCAUCCUUUCGUGUGUUCAUUAGCUCUCUCCUCAUCAUUUUCUUCCUUGAGCCAGAGACAGGGACGGGUGCGGAAUGAAUUCUGUUUCCUCAUUGCUUUCCAGUGCCUGUAUCUCCAACCCAGUCCAAGCAUCCCUCCCAGCAGAAAAGCUAGAGCCCGAAGAGCCAUUGGGAGCACCACAGCAGAAGGGAAAACCUUUGCUGAUCUCAGCACUGACAGGUUUUGGUGGCAAUGAGCUGAUGGUUGGACUAGAUGAUCUCAGUGGCCACUUCCAAAUUCUACAAUUCUAUGAUUUUGGGGUCAUCAUGGAUGUAGAAUGAUUCAAACUCCAUUGUGCAACAGUAUCUGAUCUCCCAAAUUCUCCUGGCAGCCAAUUCCCCAGCUCAGCCCUACUGCAACUGCUCCCCAGACACACUGAACCACAAGGAAAAGCCAUUUGGAUUGUGCUCUCUUGCUUUCAUGUCCAUGGGGGAUUUCCUGGGAUUUUGCAAGCCGCAGGGAUUGAGGGCAAAGCCAACAGAGAAGCAGACCUGUGCUUAGGGCACCUGCACAAGCUAGCCUGCAGGCUUACAGCUUCACUGUGGUUUGAGGUUUGAAGGUUUCCUAUCACCUGCUCAUCUCCUGCCUUUAUGUAACAACAAUAACAAAACACACAAAAAUAUCCCUCAGAAAAUCCAACCGUCUUUGCUCUUGCAGGUCCUGAACUGUUUGCCUCUGAGGGCAGAACACAGACUUUGGAUGGUUUUGAGAAGUCUCCUGUCUGGGUGGUUUUAUUUAUAUCUGAUGCAUUUUAAUGCAGAAUGGGCAGAAAAGAGAUGCUUCAGAGCAAAGUCAAAGCAGAGCAGUUCUGCAGGUCCGGCCCUCGCUGGGUUCAGUGGUGGGAUGUGCUCAUCACCCCCUCUUCAAAAUAACCCCCCACGUCUCUUUUCAUCCAACAAAACAUUUAGGUGCAUAUCUGCGAGUGAAGGAGUACAAGAGAAGGAAGCAUAAGGCUGUAAAAUAAACACUCUACAAAAUGCCUCCAGGUUGCUCUAAAUUAUGCAUCCUUCCUGUUAGGAGAUGUUCAAGGUUGUCUUUUCCUGUGAACAGCGCUCCUCCUGGGUCCUCACCUUCAUUUGCUGGGAUGCCUCUGCUCUGGGCUUGCAGUUACGUCUCCUUCCCUUUCGCUGCCUUUACAACCAUUUCUUUGCCGCCUUUUAUAAUUCAGAACACGACAAAUGAAUUCCCACCUCAGCUCAGCACUCAGAUGAUGGGAAAGGGAUAAACGGUCCCUGGUAGCAGCUCAGUGCACGGUGAGCAUCACUGCAGCCCCGUGCGGUGUUUUUUCCCUGCGCACAUGCAGGACAGACGGGCGCAGGAGUGGAGCGAUGCUCACAGCCCCAGUCCCUGGUGCAGAGCUGGGAGCAUCAGUGGGGCAAACCGUGGCCAAAAACACACGGACUCUUCUGGGAAACGGCCCAACCCUCUCAUUUCUGUAAUGUGAUUGGCACAUGGCUUGGUUUUGCGUUCUGUUUCUAAAGGAUAGCUGCUAUUCUUUUUAUUAAAACCUCUAAAUUUCAUUAGUUUGCACUUACCAAAAUAAACCUGGCAUCACUAGUGAGCUCUCCUGCGGCCGUGCCAUCGAUCUGAUGCAGCCCCGCGUCACACCUGGCACGGUGACAGCCGCGUCCCUCCAUGCUGAACACAGGCACCCGCUCUGCCUGGAGGCUGAGAGGCAUUUUCAUGGAGUUCUGUGAUGAGGAACUUUGCUUCCAAGUUUCAAGGGGGAAAAAAAGAAAAAAAGAAAAAAAAAGAGAGAGAGAGAGAGAGAGAGAGAGGUUGAUUGUAAAUUUAAUUCCUGUAUCUUAGUCAUUUCUGGGCCAUGGGUCAUUAGGCACACAUUAGUGCUGCUGGGCAUUUUUCACAGGGGCUGCACCAGCAGAAAGGAGCUGGGUUUUGCAAAGCCAAGGGUGUGAGAGAGAUCCGUGUGCAUGAGAAAGCUCAGUCCUGUGCUCAGCCCCGCAGUGCUGGGAAGUUCCCCCAAAUACUCCCGGUGUCCGUCUGUCCGCAGCCAUGACAAACAGCCCGGGGAAGCAGGCUCCUUUAAUGGGCUCCAGCAUUUUAUUUAUAGCCCCUUCGAAUAAGUGCAGCUGAUACUUAAGAUCGGCGGAUUUAAUGACAGCGAGCUGGCGAAAGGCCAGGGCUGCAAAUAGCGCCGCUAAAAGUCUUCUCCGCUAUAAAAUUUGUUUAAUGCAAGAAAUCAUCCCGUGCAGGUUUUUUGGCUGGCAUUUUUAUAAUUAGCGGGUGAAAUCGCCAUUUCGCCCCUACGAUCCGCCAGCACUUUAUGGGAUGGGGCUGCCUUGGAGAUGGAUUGUUGUGCUGGAAGAGGCGUUGAAGCUUUGCCACUCCGUAUCAUCCCACUCUUCCUCGGGGACACCCAUGUAUGCCCACUCCCAGCACCUUUCCCUUCCCUCCAGGAGUCAUCUCUCCGAGGUUUGACCAAGAGCCCAUCACACUAAGUGGUAAGGCAGCACGGCUGGGAGCUGGGACCUUUGGGAUCUGUAGACAUGCACUGAAGCCACCACACUUGGUUGGUGUUUGAUAACUUCGCCGCUUUUCACUAAGGAGCCCUCAGGUGAGCACCUGCCGUGGGGUUGUAGAGGUGGGGAGAUGUCUUCUCUUCCAGCACAGAGCCCACCUGGCUCACAAAGGGCUUUUCUGGGUGUUGUACAGGAUGGCUCUCUCUAAAGGAGCAGUGCCAUAAAAAAAAAUAUCUAUUUGAGAUAAUAAAAGGCAAACAAAAUGCUGGAAAAACAUUGAAGGGUUGGAAAUCCUCCUAGGUUUUGCAGUUAAAUUUACCGAUGCACUCAGGAGCUCUCUAUGAGCUUCCCUGGGAAUCCAGAGGAGAUGGGAUUAUCCUGAGCAUCUUGAUGGGAUAUUUUUCCCUGCUGUUUGCACCACGCGAUAAUGUCCUCUGGACCUCCUGCCCUGCAGAGAUUUCAGCCCAGCUCUCUCCUGUACAAAGAUGAACCACGGGUGAGCCCUGGCCAGCUCUGUGAUUUAGAUUUCCCAUCGCUUGUCUGCGAGCUGGGCUGAUAUUUAUGGACAUGCUCUGGAUCGGAGGUAAAAUGCUGCAUCUUUCAUGGAAGCUGUGAGAGGUAAUUAGUAUCUGUCCUGUGGGAUGGGGCUUAAUGUUGAGGCUCUUCAGGAGGGCUCUCGGUGUUCAAAGACUUAGCACCUUGCUAAACUGGGAUCUGAAUUCACAGGAUGCAUUAAAGCAUAAUUUAAGGAUGAAAAAAGGCGGAGGAAAGAUAAUAAUUAGGUGGAUUGUGCCCUUGUGAGACACCGCAUCCCUAUUUCCAAGUAAAAACUGCGUGUAAGAGAGGCACUGUGCUGGCUGCAGGUGUCUCCAGACCUUGAAAGGUCUUGGAACAAAACUCCAGGAGGGCUGACCCCCAUGGGACUGAGACUUGCAGCUUGAGAUCCCUCAUUUCAGGUCAUGGCUCCUUCUGCUUCUCUUAGCGAAUGUCAUAAAUACAGAGGCUUUGCCCCAAAAUUAUAUGCACAGAAAUGGAGGACUAUUUGAGGGCAUGAAAUAACCUGAGUUUUUCUGGCCCAGACGACUAAUUGCACAUUAUUCACCCAGUUCUGGUAGGGUGUCCGUUUUGCUGGACUAAACCCCAUCAUAUAAUAACCUCUUAGCCUACUGGGCUCAUCUCCAGAGCUCAAAGCUCUUCCGUUUCCUUGCCUCUCUUCUACCACUUAUUUAAUUUAUUUCCCAAAAAAUACUGAAAUAAAAGGAUUUUUAAACCAGAAUAGGACAGGACUCUUUCUUUGCAGUGCACAGUUUGCUGGGUAUGGCUGGAGAACCUGAACUAUUGUCAAGAAUGCCACUCAAAUUACAAUAUAAUUGUCUGGGGAAAAAAAAAAGUUCUGGCAGCUAAUUCUGAUUGCAGUGCACAUUUCUGUGCCUGUGACAAAUGAUUUCUAAAGUUAGCCUCAAGGACACCGAGCUUCCAAGAGGUCACCCAUCCACACUGUUUACUUUACUUGCCAUCCUAAAAUAAGUUUUAAAAAGUGAAAUUAACAGUGAGGGGAAAGAAGGAAGAAAACUGUAGAUGGUGGGGAGAAGAUUGAAGUGUUUUGUUUUAAAAGGAGCGAUGCUCGGGGCCAUAAAAUAUGAAAUACAGGGGGGGAAGCAGAUUUGGGGCUAACCUACAAUAUCGCAUUAGGCUUUAAAGCCGUUCCAACAGACUAAGCAUUUGAGAAAGAAUUGGAGCUGCUUGUGAUAAGUUGCUCCUCUUAUCGGCAAACUGUCAUCUGUCUUGGGAGAGAACAUUUUGUCCACCCUACCAAAACAAGUCAGAAAAAUUGGAUAAAAACAAAAAUAUAAAUCAGAAUGGGAACUGGGAGCCGAACUGAAAUGAUGGCAAUUUCCUGGCAAGGCUCGCUGGACGGCUAAAUGUCAGACGUGACAGCAGGAAUUAUCCCUGCGAUGCGGGGUCAGGAGAGAUGUGUGCGGGUGGUGGGCAGAGCACGGCCACUGCGGGACACGGCCUCGGGUUGGGAGGGCUGUGCAUGGGGUGGCACGGGGGUCUCAGGGGAAGCAAAAUAUGCAGGGGACAUGGGCACAGUGUGGUGGCAGCCCCUUGGAAUCUAAGCUGAGAGGCAAGGUGGGCUGUCCAUAACUGCCCGAGCAUUGAUUGGCGGUGCUGGCACUGCCCAGAGCUUGGGGUGUGCAUCAGAAUGAGAAAGGAAGCAGCAGGGCCCUGGGACAUCACCAUGGGGAUGGUGGGAUCCAAACCUGCCCUGCCCCACAGAUGUGCCUGAGUGCUUUUCUCCUUCACUGAAUGCCAUUGUCCCCCAGCAGCAGCCAGGCUGAUAUCACCGGAGGCAAGACCUGAAUCAGACGCGGAGAAAUCAGCUAUUUAAAUGCACCGGAGUUGCUGCGCUCCCAUUAAACCCCAAGAAACCCAAUUGCAGUUUGGAGAUAGAGGUACAGCGAGAGGAGGUGUGGGACACACUUCUGCACAGUCACCUAAUGGGAAAAGACAGAGCCUGGGCAGAAGUGAGUGAUAAAGGAAUGGCGAUGUCCAAGGCUUGCACAGCUCAGUGCUGCAGCAGCACCUAUGAGAGCAAGCAAAGGAAGAGAUGCUGUCUCUGGCAAGGGAGCAGCUGAAGAACUGCUGUCCUGUACUUUAGAUUUGAAAAGUAUAUAUAGUUUUAAUUAUUAAUGACACAUCAGUUUGAUACACGUGACAAUGAGGCAGCAGAGAUGCUCCAUAGUUUUGCAUGGGGUUUGUGGCUGCUCGUGCAAACCCACAUGAACGAGCAAUAUCCGAGCCUUUGCUUCAGCUCAGCUCAGAGCAAAGUGUCCCAGCACACAGGACUGCCUUGCCAGGUGCUGACAGCCCUCCCGCAUGCACACAACCAGUGCCUUGCUCAGAAAGACUGGAGGAGGGGGAGUGGAAUGAGGGUCAGCAAUUUGCUCCCUGUUGGAAAUAUCCCAACAGCAAGGAUAUCGAAGCUGACCUUUAAGCAGAAGCUGACGAAAAGCUGCUACAAAUUAAUCUCUUAACAUUUUAAUUUAAUGCACGUUUUGUUCCAAGAACAGGGGUGACCCAGGAAAGGGUUAAUCCGAGCUGUGCACCUAGCACAUCCACACCAGAUUUGCAGCAGUGUGGGUAUAUACAUGCAUUUCUAUCACAUACACAGGUAUUUCUUUAUCAGAGGCAUGUGGGCUGGACAGCAGACGGGCUCUCCUCUCACCACGGUGGGGUGUGGGAUGCCACACAAAUUCCAUCAGGGCGACCUGCAGCCCAUCAGCAUUGCAGCAUCACAGGGAGCCCCAUGGGAGCAGGGACACUUUCCAGCAUCACUCAGAGCCACUUCAUUGGCUUCUUUAUUUUUAUUCUUUUUCAUGUUGUGAUGCCCUAACGUCAUUGUUGGUGGGAAAGAGCUGAAAAACAGACAGGUUCUGACCAGUCCCUCUCUGCCAUCAGUCUCACAGCAUAACCGAACUGCUUUAGUUGCACUUAAUUGUGCUGUUUGUUUGUUUCCAUGUUGUCAUCAGACAAUAAAUCCAAAGCAAUCACUGUCCAAAUUUUUACAGUUUUCCCAAAGGGAAUGUCAAUUACCUUUCCCUCCCAGCACCGCUGACCUCUGCCACAUACAAAUCCCACUUUUAUUCGGAAAAAUGCAGCCACUUGCUCCAAUUAUUCAGCCUGCACUCUGAGGUGAGCAUAAAAAAAGAGUGUUCAGUAGGUACAUCCAGCCUGUAAAGGCUCAGAGGUUGGGUGCCAUUGCUCUGCAGUACAUGGGCAUGUCCAACCCACAGCCCCACGAGCUGCAGAUAGAUGAGGAGAGUAAUGUAAUUCCAUCUUUGGAAAUGUCAGACUUUAUGGAUGAAUAAAAUACAUUCCAUUUUCUUCUGUUUAUCAAUAUCGGGUGAGAACAGACUAGAAAUUGCUUAUAAAUGGAUAGCAUAAGGAGAGAGGCCAUCUAUUUGUUAUCUAUAGCAGAAGCUGAGCACUGAUCCUACUGUGGCAGCCACAGGUCAUAGAAUCAAAGAAUCACAGAAUAUCCUGAGUCAGAAGGGACCCAUGAGGAUCACUGAGUCCAGCCCCAUCACCUCUGCAUAGAAUACAAUAAAUGACUAAAAUAGAAAAGCGAGGCAUGGAUAGAAGAAAGAGCAACGUCGGGUUCUCCUCCGUUCAGCCAAUAAUUCUGACUACACAGUGUUUAAUGUUUGGUGAUGCCAUGUACUGGUUUUUCCAUAAGAUGGUCUCAAAGCCGCUGUGUGCUCUGAGUUUCGAUGGGAAAUCCACGGUGCCAUGUGAGGGUGGGCUCCCCAGAGCUCCAUGGGGUGUGCAGGAGGGAUACAGUCCCCAACAGCACCAUAACGGUUAAAGGAGAGAUUUCAGGAAGGGGAACAGAACAGCAGAGAGUGAACUUUGCAGAUAAAUUAUAGCUAAAGAGGAAUGAAACAUUAUAGUUUCAAUUACUGCUGUGCCCAGCCACGCAGGUAGUAAUUCAAACAAGAAACAAUUGGCGGAUUGUCACCCUCAAAUCAGACACAUACCAUUUAAUUCCAUUUACUGAGGGUUCACUGACUGUAUUUUGAAUCAAAUACAGCCAUUAAUGUGCAAAGAUCUGAAAAAUGCAUGUGUCCCUUUUACAAAUGUGACAAUGAGACGCUAAUUCCUGUAAAGCCCUUUUUUCUUCAGGUUGGACUGCUCCUAUUGCCUUUAGUUAUGCAGAUAUUACUUAUUAAGAGUUUUAAUAUGUCAGGCUGGUUCUUUUGAAAUGCCUUGUGCCUUUUUGUUCAGAGCGUGCGGAAAGCGCAGCUAAAUCCAUUCUUACGUUCCAUCAUCCAAACUUAGCAAAUUGAUUCGAAUGCAGGAAAAAAAAAAAAGCUACUUUCAUUAAAACAAUUAAAUCCUUACUAUUAUUGCUGUAUCUGGCUAUUACAGCACAAAUAUAAAUCAUCGGUUACAGGAGCUAAAAGCUUUCAGCUGGAAUUGCUCUACCGUCUGCCCCAUGCCAUGGGCAGGGAGGAAGGAUGACGUGCACCAGGCUUCUUUAUGGGAGAUGCUGCUGCCUAAAUAAAAAAGUCAAGUCCAUAAAGUGAAUAUUAUUGUGCUACCUUGUUUCUCCCCAGCAGUGAAGCAAUGCAUGCCAAUGGGCAGAGCGAAUAGGAGGAAAUAGUUGGGUUGGUUUUCCCGCUCCUCGUGAAUUGGGGGACAUUUUGGAAGGGGCACAAAGGUUUCGGGGGCAGUUGAGUGCUUUUGUUUUCCUUUUCUAAAUAAACCACGGAUCUGCACUGCCACACACUCCCCGUGGGGUCACGAAGUGUGCUGCAGAAUAAAAACGGAGCUUUCUGUGAUAGUGCACUUGCCCUUCAGAGCCGCUUGGAUUGCAUCAAAGGGCAAAUUGUUUAAAUAUAAUUUUCCUGAUUACUGAAUAGGUCGACCGAACAGGAUAUGAAAUGCAAAGGCUUUUCUCAUCUUGCUCUUUGCAUCAUCCUAGGGCACACCUCGCUACAGGUGCUGCCUGUUGGCUCAAGGACACUUCCAGGCGGCAGAAUAUCAAAGGAGCAGGGAUGGACAGCCCAGUGCAUCCUGCACAUUUUAAAUUGCUUAAAAAGACUCUUUUGCAAAGGGAGUCUGAGGCAGGGACCGAAAUCAGUGCUCAGCAUGUGGAUUAGACAAACAGAGUGGUCAUUAGCGCUGAUUGUCAUUGUCACACAAGCACAGACUGUUAAUUCAGCCCAGGAGUCAUUAGAAACGAGCCUCAGCGGGGAGAGGGGUUGGUGUUGGUGUAGAUGCUGGAUGGUGGCUCUGCUGGCUUGGCAGAACAUGAAGGAGACCCCUGAGAUCCUACACUGCUCCGGUUGUAAAUUCCAAAUGGAAACUCCCAGGAAUUUGCCAGGAAAAGGAUAAUCACUCAUUAUUCUCAUUUGUGGAAAGCUGUUUAAACCCAGCCCUGCUUUUCUCACCCCAUUCCCAAGCUGAGCUCAUCACCUUUCUGAGAAGCCACGCUCUUCCAGGACAGUGUCUCCUCUUCCAGUGAGCUUUUGCCCUGGCUUUUCUCCUGGGUCCAUUUGGGAGGGUUCCAUCUUUGCCCCAGUGCUUUUGCCAGUGGCUGCCACCAUCCAGAGAGAUAUUCAGCCUCAAGGAGUCCCCAGCAAAGAGCACCCACUGCCUUCCAGCCUCACCCCAGCAGCAGCGUUGAGGUCCCACAGCUGCAGAGCAGCGCCCGUUGUGCUGUGCGGGUGCCCCUUUAUUGGAGUUCCUCCCACCACGUGCUUGUAAUUUAUUUGUAUUUCCAGCAGAGAUAAUUGAGUUAUCAAUUCUGUGCUCUUUUGGGCCAGAAGCAAAGAGAUCAGAGAGCUGUUUUAUACACCUAAUUAUAGAUUAUUUCCCAUAGCUAUAAAACCACAGAGGGACAGAUCCAGAGAGCAUCCUUUUCAUCUCCACUGACUUUUGCCUUUGCUCUCUCAGACUCGGAUCAGAAGGGCCUCCAGACAAAACAGUUGUCAAAAGCAAGGGCUCCUUAUCUCCUCACAGGACAAAACCUCUCGGCAUCCCAGUAGAGACCGUGCACAGUUGCUUAAAGAUCAAAUUCAACUUAUACUUAACCAAUCUGCUUAAGCCUUUAGCACCUCAUUGAGUCGUGCUGAGAUUUAUUCCGUUUCUGCACACUUUGGCUAUAAUCUGGUUCAUGACAAUGGCCUGGGGGUCUGCUGAGGAUGUAAAAAAUUGAUUUUCUUUGCCACAUGCAGGCUUUGUGGGCUUGCAUUUGGCAUGGCCCCUCAUGCCCCUGCUAGCUCCUAUGCUCAGCCUGCUCCCUCCUCCCCAGGCAGCUCUGAGCACCCUGCAGCAUCCGCAGAUCCCGCAGAGCUGCAGUGCAGAGCAGGGGUUGAGGUCCGGCAUACCCGAAUUUUCUAUGUAUGGAAAGAAAUGGGAAGUGUCCGUGCGUCGGUGUUAAGUUUCUGGUGGUGACACGCAGAGGCCAUCCGAGAUGUAUGACCUAGCAAAUGUAUUGUAACGCACACAUCACAUUCGUUCUCUGGGUAAAUAGAUAUUGUCUAGGGUACAUUACAUCUGUGCCUUCGUGUUUAAUUUAAUGUAAGUGAACUGCCUUAAUUUCUCCAAAUUGUAGUAAUAAACAUAACGUUAACGGUGAUACUGCUAAUAAUUUAUUUUGCAAGCGAUUAAUCAACAACAAACUCUUUUAAUUACCUGUUCUGAAAUGUCAAACUCUAAACUAAUUACAUGUUAUUACAUGAAUUCAUGUAUAUGUAUACACAAAUACGAAUUCCAAGGGUAAUUAAAAUGAAUAAACCAUCAGAUUUGGUAAAAUCAUGCAGCUGAGAGAAGUUUGCUCUCCACUGCAUUUCUGCCUCUUUGCAUUUCAUCCUCAGCACAAAGGGAGCUAGAUUCCAAGGCUCUGAGCGAGUCGUUUGUGCUUCUGCAAAAAAAUAUUACCCACAGAAAGUGGCAAACCCCGUGGGAUCUAUGCUGAGAACCACAAGGAAGAGAGGAAAGCAGCUGUGCUGCUCUGCUGGGGGGAGUACAGAGUGUGGGGCUCAUUUGGGUGCUCCCUGUGCAGGGGGUGAAACCAAGCAGGACAGAAGUGGGUGGUGUACAUUUGCUGUACUCAAUAAUUGGCAACGAUUUUUGGAAGGAGAUUGGGGGUGAAAUUAACAGAUUUGGGGCACGACCAAAUCUGUUCUCCAUUUUGUGUCCUUGUUGAGUCUCUCAGUGCAGGCACAACACAGUGCUCUUUGCAACACCCUGGUGACCCCUAGAUGAGACUUGGAAGACCACUUCUUUGCACUGGCACUCCAGACAUCAUGGCCAAGUGCCCCCAGCAAUGUGGGGCUGUAUGCCAGUGGGUCACGAAAGGAUGGAGACCACCAGCUUGGAGGGUCUGGGAAUGAAGCCUUUAAUUCAGGGGUGGACACUGAGGCAGUCCCAAUGGCUUGCAGCAUGGGCUGGAAGAACAGGAUGAUUAAUGAGAGCAAUGGCACGAAGGAGCCAGGAACUAAGUAAUGAGACCUUUAUUUGAUACAUAAUACAGCCGGGGCCCUCUAUAAAGAGAAUACCAAGAGUAGGGCUAAGUUUCACAGUUCUGGGAAUGUAUCAGGAAGGGGGAAAGCUUUGCUGACUUUGCAGCCAAACGCCUGGGCCAUCCGCAAGUGUUGUUCGCAGUGAGCUUGGGACAUGUUAAUUUGGUCAUAUAUCUUCAGAUGGUGGCAAGAUGCCCUGACUUUUGAUUUACUGUGCUGAGUGGGUCUGUGUGAUGUUGUGGGUUUAAAAUGAGGUGUCCAGAGCCUGAUUCAGUCACAGGAUCACUGAAUUCCAGCUGGGAGAUGAAGAAGCCGUUAUACACACACAACAAGAACUUCCAGCCAAAAAUUACUUAUGGUUUCAAUUAAAGGAGAAGAAGUUGCUGAUUGUUUAGGUAUGGAUGUCAGAAACACAGCAGUUAACAGCAGAGAUGAAUGAGAGAUAGUGAGGUGAUAACUUAGAUAAAUUGGUAUCUCAUCCAUAUUAAGGAGACAGCUCAUCCUCUGGUGCUGCUGGAUGACAUGAAGAGUGGAGUGUAUAUGGAUACUAAAAAACGUUGGUCUUAAAGUUAAAUCCCCAAGAACCAUCAGAAAUAAGUCUCAGAAGCCAAAGUGAGAUCUGAUGCACGCUGCAAAAAUAUGCAGUCUGUCAGGGAACGCUGCUCUCUCCAUAUAACUUCCACCGUUUGUGGGACAAUUAUAGAGAAAAUGAUACUGUGAUCUGUAAAGCAGUUCCUGCAGUGGUUUUAUUCACUAACUCGAUGCCACGCAUAAUCAUAGCCAGUAACAUCUCCAGAGGUGUGUGCAUAAUAGAGAGACAUCAAGUCAAUGAGUCAAAACAUCAGAAAAUAAAAUUCAGAUGAACAUCACUUGCAGAAAUUCUAUCAUCUGUCAUUUAACGCUGUCUGAAGACCUCCACGUUGAAAUAAGGCGUGGAAACCAGAAGUUACCCCAGGCAGCAGUCCUUAGGACCUGCACGGACUCAGGGCUUUCUGCAAGUUGGGUUGAGUGCCAAAGAAGUUCUCUUGCGAUCUUAAAACUCAAGCACCCAAAAAACACCAUAGAGGGGAAGGCAGGGAGCAGGGAGGAUCUGUCCUGCCGUGUCCCCACCUCAGAUCCUGCCCAGCAUCACCCAAGCAGCCGCUGCUGGGAGCGGAGUUGCUCCUGGAUCACCUUAAGGCUAUUUGCAGCUCUUGCUGAUGCCCUUUCAAUACCCAAUCCCGAAACUUUUCAUGCGAGGAAGCUUGCAGGAUGACAGAUUGCACCUUAAAACAAAGAGGUAAUAGCUCUUAGGUCCAGAUCUGUUCUUGGAACUAAAUUCACUGCAGAAGAAGUGUUUCUGCACAACUGCAUAAUGCCUCAAAGUGGCAUUUUACAAUCUUUAAAUUCCAACACCGAUGAAGAAUUCUGCUUUAAACUACUGCAGCAGCCCAGCCCCCCUUUAUUUAUGAGUAAUAGGCUUUUCAUUUAGAUUUAACUACAGAUUCGAGUGGUUUCCAUGUGCCAGGGCUCGGAGUCACACCAGUGUCUCCUGAGGUGGCCGUGCUGUUUCCACAGAGUCACUCAGGAUCCCCACCAAACCUGUCUUUGCAUACAUACGUGUGUAUUUUAUAUAGAUGUACACAUGCACUUCAUUUUUAAAAAGACAAAGUUUUUAUUCCAGGCUUCAUUUUCCUUUAAACCGUAUGAAGCCAAAGUUCGAAAGGAUGACCCCAAAAUUGCCAGUUUGAUUGUAAUUUCCCCCAAAAGAUUUUGGGUUGUAGGUACAUAGAGAACGAUGGCUUUGCUUCCCCCUUUCUGCUCAUCAUCCCAUGCAACGCUGAUGUGCCAGGAAGCGUGGAUGGGAUCAGGGAGCUUGGUGAGUUUGCCACAUCAGUAGUCACUGAGAGUGCCUGAAGUUUCAUUUUUCAAUGGAAAGCUGCAGUGAAACGAGUAUUUUGCUACUCAUCUUGUUAUUAUUCAUCAGUGCUUCCAAGCACCUCUCAGCCCUUUGUUUCUUGGGAAAGGCAUGGUGCUUAAAGGGGCUGAAAGGUGGAUUUUGUGGAAAGCCCAACCCACAUCUUUGAUCCCAGCGGUUUUGUAAAGCAUUCGUUUUGCUCGCUGGGAAAAUCUCUGCCCUCCCCACUCCCUCACCUCCCCCUCUUUCCCCUCCACCUAAGUUACCUCGUCUGGAUCCGAAGGAACGCUUGCCAUCCUUUGAAGAGGUAGUCUCGUCCGAAAAAUCAAUAGUCAACAUUGUCUUUAAAUAGUCUGACAUUUACCUUUACAGCAGUUUUCAUUUCUUUCCCAGAUUGCUCAGACGUUUGUAUUACCCACACACUACAUCCCUGAUCUCUCGGCCGGGAGCUUUGCACGGAUGCAGCCCCGGUGCUGCAGAGCGGCCACCAGCAAGGAACUGCAGCACGAUAAUUAACAGGACGGGAGCUCACUAAUAGAAGCAUCUUUAACUAAUUUAUGGAAGACAUCAGGUGAGAAUAAUUACAAGCAGAAGGGUAUUGUAAAUCCCUGAAGAAAAUACACUUGGAAUGCAGUUUUCCCAACAAGCAAAUCUGAAUGCUAGCCCAAAGGUCAGAAAUAAAAAGGCUGAGAGCUUCAGCUCCCCGAGCAGGCACCUCUCCGAUCCCUUCUUGUCAAGAAAUUGUCUGGGGGUUCAUUUAGAAAGCUGCUUGUUCAGGGCAGGGCCAUUUGCAAUCUGGGAAAGUUAAGCAAAUUAGCAGAAUUAUUAGGUAAGAGGCAAUUCUCCACAGCCUGCAAGGCAACCGCUUGUUAAAUGAGCUCACACCAGAGAGUUGCACUGAUCGAGUGGUGUUUGCAGAGACGGGGCUGUGCAGGCAUUUGCUCUGAAAUAAUACUGCUGUAUUCCCCUGGAAAAAUUAAAAAAAAAUGGGAAUUUGUGCAGGCUGAGCUGGAAGAUGCCUCUGUCUUCCAUACGCAUUCCUGCUUCUCUGCUCCUUCUGCUAUAAUAAAUAUCAUAAUCCUAGCAAAUGAGAGAAGGAGAUUAACCCGACACCUUUAACCCAGUUACUGCUUAAAAUAGGGAGCAGUGUGGUGCCACGAGGCCCCAAAGCAGGUGGCUCUGCACCCGCUGUCCCCUGGGGCUCAUAGGGACAGCUGUGCACUGCAGCCCCGCUGCUCUGUGCAGUGUUGGGAGUGGGAUCCAACUCAGGUCCUGCAAGGAGCCCACCCAAGGGUGGCUCACACUGCUCACUUGUUUUUAUAUACUCUUUGCCUAUUGAUUUGAUAUUUUUAUACCUUAUACAGUGCACUUAGCACAGAAAAAAAAAAAUGGAUUAACCAAGUAAAUGUGCUUUAUUAGCGGAUCUCUGAUGGAGAAUGAUGUCGGUUUUCCAUUUAAAAGAUGCAUCGGAUUCAUCCACUCAUGAAUCAAUUAGUUCAUGCUUGAGGACCUCCUAACAUGCCACAUAAAAAACUCCCAAUGUCAAACUGCACGCUGGGUGGAACAACCAAGGGUUUCAAAUGAAAAAAGUGCAUCACUGGGAAACCUUUGGCUCUUCCACCACCACUAGGAUGGAAGCACUCUGCCCAACUCUUAGUUAACACAUUCUUUCUGUUCCUUGGUUUCUUAAAAUCUUUCUUUUUUUCAAGUUUUUAUUGACAGCUUUACACUCCUCCCUCUGCUAUACAAUGGAGACGGGCACAUAUCGUAAGCCUUUCCAAUGGUAGUUUUGGGGUCAGGCUGAUUAGAUUUGGGAAGUGUCAAUUGUUGAAUGCUGUCCUCCUUCUGUCUGAGACUAACAACUCUCCCUACUCAGAGGGUUGGCCCUCUUUCUGUCCUUCCUGAGGUUUAGGGCUCAUUGGUCCAUGCUCCACACCAUGAAAAGGCACAUACACUUUCCUAGUGAUUCACAUUUCUGCUUAGAUAAGAACCAACAGGCUCCAUCCCACCCUGGAGCCCCUGGGACUAUGUGGAAGGUCGCAGUGUUUAUUUUUGGUCUUGUCCAAUUAAAGACAAUGACCUGGAGUAGAUGAGAUGCCUGGGCAUGCAUUCAUAUCACAGGCAUAAUGCAAGAACCGUAGGCAUUUAAAUGGGAAUUCUUUCUCACCCGGUUAGACCGAUGCGUAAGGAAAUAAUCCAAGUGGGGCAUUGACAAGAUAUUUUUUGUUGUAAGUCUGCAUGCUAAAACCCCUAAAUAAAAGGAUUUUACUCCUUGAGAGAAAGAGGAAAGGCUAUGCACACCCAGCCUGAGGUGUCACUACAACUCAAUGGGAGCAAUGCACGAGCACUGAGCUGCUGGGAUGGCUGCCUGCACAUUGGGUGCCCACACUAUGUACAGAGCAGAGGGCACUGCUUAAACCUCAGUCAAAUAAGUAAACAUGGACAAGGAAGUAAAAACAGACGCACUUUUUUCUCAUUGCUGCGAAGAAUUCAGGCCAUGCAAGCACCAGGGCUGUGCAAAGAAGAGCAACUAUGUUUAAGAGCAUCCUUCUCUCUCUUGGAUGUACAUCCAACAGCAGAUAACAUCACCCAGCCCUUUCUGCUUUUGGAAACCAUGUGCAGCACAACUUGCUGCUCACAUUUAAUCCAAACUGAUGUCCUACGGCUGUCAUAUGCAUGAUUAUGGCAGUCGUUUUUAAUUAGUGAUUGUGUCAAUAGUAUUGACAUUUUCAUCACUUUUGGGGGAAGUAGAGAAUAUUUUCCAGCAGGUGAAGUCCCCUCUUUGCAGUUCUCUUCCCCUCCAGCUGCACCUACUGGAUAAAUGAGCUAUGCAUCUUAUUAAAAAGAAAGCAAGAGCAUUAAGUCUGUUCUCUGCUUAAGUACAUUACAGCAACUUAGGCAACACGAAACUCAAGAAAGGCAGAAAAGCAAAUACCCUCUGUCCUAUGGCAAGAUUUACAAUCUUGUUCUGAGUGCAAUAUUUAUUAUACGGCUUAACAGAAGCUCUGGCAGGAUGGGGGAAAUGCUGGCGGCCCCGUGACAAGGAGGAGGCGUUCAAUAGCUUGCUGGGAAGUGGAGUUGGACACGAACUGAUCAACCAGCCAUUACACUCAGUGAUAAACACCCUGCAGGAGCCAUCAUUCACCCAGGAAGAAAGAGGAAGGCAGAUCAUUACAUUUAUUGGUCAUAGUUUUUAAAGAGUCAAUAAAGACCCACUAGAAAAGACACGGUUAGGAGCAGGAAUAUAUAUAUUUUUUUCAUGUAUCUUGAAAAUACCUUCAGCUCAGUUUGCUUUCUGCCCAAUACGUCAGGGUGAAUCUUCAUCCUAGGUGAUGGUCCCAGUGUAGACGGUGCUCAUAUUGUACAGUUUUUAAUGUCUUUAACCAUCUUUAGCUUUGUACCCUGAUAGCCCCUCCAGGCUAUAUGUCAAUGCCAUCUGGGAGUAAAAGAAGAGACUUCUGCUCAAGUAACGCUGUAAUGUAGAUCUCUCGACUAAAAUUGCACUUCCUUCACUUGACAAACUGUCAGCACAGAACAAUUAUCUGCCUGUUGGUUUGCUUGUCUUUUCUUUUUUUCUCCUCUCAGAAAAAAGAAAAAAAAAGAAAAAAGAAGAAGAAAAAAAAAACCAUACAAAGGAAAAGGACCUGCAGAGUAAAAUGCCGUGGGCAAAAUCCACAUAAUCUGAUUGCUGCGCCCAGAGAUGCAUUGGUGGACCACCAAAGGUAAAAGUGGGUCUAAUGCUAAAGGAGAGGGACAAUUUCUAGCUCCUUUCUUUCGGGGAUUUCCAGAGAGGAUAUUGCUAAAUAGAAGAUUAGGGAGGAAGAGGCAAGAGUCAUUAGACCCCUCUGCUUGUCUUGAGGGAGAAACCAAAACAGGCUGGAAGAGUCCAAAGCUUGUGUCCUGCUCAACAAGCUGAAGGAACCAUUUGAUUUUUCUCUCCUGGUAAGAAAGGAUGAGGAUGAUGUCUUUAGGGAAGAGAGCCAACCUGAUUUUUUGCUAGCCAUCUUGGUGUUAAUGGGACCGUGCAGUUCAUUUGGAGAAUACCCACAAAGCAUGAGUAGAGCCCCAAGAGGUGUAAUCUAAAUUAGUGGGUAAAUUUAUUUGUGCACUUUUUUUUUACUGUUUUAUUUUCCUUCUUCCCUUCUGUACCACCUCUUUUGCCACCUCCUCUGCCUCACUUGACAGAUGAAUGUGUUCAGGUCUUUGGGACAGAUAAUGUGUCUGUAUCCCUUUUAAAAGUCCUGUACAAACACUAUGGAUAUGAGAGUGCAGGUGUAUUUAGUCUGGUGUGUUUAGCAGAUUUAGAUUAUGAAUUACUGCUCAAAAUAACGUUUGCAUUUGCUGACAAAGGUCUUUAUUACAGAAGAGGUCAAGAAAAAAAGAUUAUUCCUGCUAAUUAUCCACUGCUAUUUAAUAUUUGCACAAAAGGUUUGCAAGACAGAGUCCUCAGCAUUGCUUUGUUUGAGAAGCUAAUAGGGUUUCUAGGAAACCAGCAGGGUCUGGAGGGCCAUCAGAUCAGCCUGUUAGUGGCUAUGAAGGACAAUUAGGCCUGAUGGAGUUACAGGGUGGUUGGCUAAAGGAUGGCAGUCCCUGAGCCAGGGCCUGAUGCUGGGGCAUUCAAAGUCAGUGGUAGAACUUCCACUCAGAGCUGUGCUUUAUGAGAAGCCAACUGGAGAGGAUCCAGUUUUCACACCCUGGGUAGGUCCAUGUCCUGGUUGAAAUGGAAGCUCCAUUUGCUCCUAUGCAGAGCAUCAGAAGGGAUUUGAGGGUGAACAGGUUUGACAGACAAACUGUUGGGAGGAAUAUUAGCAAUUAUUUUUUGGCCCUGGUCUUAGGUUUGUCCCUGUAUAUUAGCAGUCCUUGGAAAGUUCCCCCAAAGUCUAACAGCUGCCUUUGGCUUGGCCCCCACAUUUCUUGCAUUGGUUCAUAGUAGCCUGUAUCGUUCUACAAAUUCCUUAUUAAGUGAAUUGAAGUUCCCAUUCAUAAAGAUAUAAUUAACCAAUAAAUAUACCUGCAGAAAUUUCCAAACGUAGAUGUCUGAAGGUGAGAUCCAUGUUUAAGCUCCUAAAUACAUGGCCCAACUUUAAAAUCCCCACAUCCAUCUUCUUGCUUCAAGUGAAAUGGAAGCUUCCUACUAUUCAGUGCUCAGAUGGCUGUGGGGUACCAAAACACAGACCAAGGUGAUGUUUUGGCACACGGGUUUAUAGAGUGAUCAAAGUAGUGUGACAUCAUUGCACAACAACUGCAUCAGAUGAUAAAAUGCCAUGUACUCCCAUAUAACAUGUUGUAUGGAUGCAUACCGCUGUUCCCAUAUAUAUCCAGAACUCUUCUGGGAGGAUUUCUGGGACAACAAAUGCUUUCAGUAUUUCCUGCAGAGGAACAUGUGCCUGGGAUCUGUGUAGAUGCCAACAGCCAAAGCCUGGGAGCCCCAUUAAAAGAAAUCACCCUGAGCUGCUGCAGCAGGUGAGCCCUUGUCCACCCAUGCUUCACCAGGAGAAAACCUUUUCAGUUACAUUCCGUGGUUUUGUUCCAGUUGUGAUGUCUUCAGCUUCCCCAUUUGUCAUUUUUUAGUAAUUUAAUUAACAUUCCGAAGGAAGAAUUUUAAUAAAGGUGCUGUUUACACCGAAUGCAGCCUUGGGGAGUGAGGGAGAAUAACCCAGACUGCAGGAGUGGGGAGCAUGCUAUUUUGGAAAGCCAAGCCACAGCCUGCUGGAAGCACCCGGUUCUACUCAACCUGUCCCAGUAUCACCCACAGCCCAAACUGCCUGUUUGUGCUGGAGAUUCCUUUCCCCAGUGCUUUCAUCCCCAUCCUUCCUUGCUUAUGAAUCUUGGGUUUGGCAGCAAGAGCUUUAGGGUGGCAUUUGCACAGCGAUUCUGCAUGCACGCUCAUUCCUGUCUUCACUGAUGCUUUCACUUGAUGCAAAAUUAGGGGGUGGGAUUGGAUAAUGCCCAGAAACCAGCACUGUUGAUUACAAAGCAAACAAUUGGCAGGGAAAGGAGUGUGCAAAAAUGCGUGCCUGCAGCUUGCAGCUGCAGAGGUGGUGACCAUUGGCUAUUUUGCCACGUGCUGUGGCUGUAAAGCUACAAGCAUCCUUCCUGCGCAUGGAUGUCAAUUUGCCCCAUGAUGCUGCAGGGAUUCAUUGGAGCUACUCACUUUCCUCUGUUUACAGGCUAAAAUAUUUGCAACUUCAUGUUGUAAGGGCUUGGGCAUCUCCUAUUAGACAAGGAUAAAGCCCUUCUGGAUGCACUGGUGGGUGUUUGUAGAGACGUUGCAUUUUUGGAAAAAAAAAAAUAAUAAUUAUUAUUUCUUUUAUAUAUUUCCAGGGUGGUGUGAAGGAGAACAUCCUCCUCCAACAGUUCAUGCACAGCUUCCCACUUAUGCAUUUUUCAGAACGAAUGCAGCAAAUAUACCUGAUCAGUGCUGAUACAACUGCUUCUCCUCCCCGACAUAUUUACACUAAGAGAUUGAUGAACCACAGGAAAAGAAGAAAAUAACAGAACAAACAACUUAUCUUCCCAGAAGCUCCCUAGAAACUUAUCUGUCAUCACUGCCCAGGCUGCAGCAAGAGGGGAUUUCAGCAUGGAAGGUAUUCUCAGUGUAUGCUGUUCACUCUGAGGGAACUUUUGACACCCAAGCAUUCUUUUCAGUGUGAGAAGCGAUUACUGCUUCCCAAAGGGGAGAGCUGGAGACCUGAGCCCUCAGCUCUGCACAUGCUCCUCAACCCCAACUUGUUCUCAGGAAAAAGUACCAGGUAUUUGCCUGAUCUAACGGAAUACAUGGAAAAAAAACAAACAACAACAACCAAACCACUAUUUGGAUUUCAGUAGGACUUCAGCAUAGACGCUUUGACACUUAAGGUGAGAAAAAUGAGCUACAGAGGAAAGCAUGGGUUUCCUUUUAGCUGAGGAGGGAUGCUCCUGCAGCUCCACUGCUCCUCAUGUCUUUGUCUUUAAAACACUCAGUGACAUAAAAAUUAGACGCACGUUAAACCUCAAAUCUAGCAAAUAGCUCCAUCUCUUAAAGCAUGUGAAUACUCCUGAUACUAUUAAGAACAUUUAACCGGUACCUGAGGGACUGGGGACCUGGAGUCAGGCGACCCAGUUUCCUACAUAAGAAAAGAGAGAAAUGUCUGCCUCCUCUAAUGCCAGGGGUUAUCCUGGGCCAGGUAUCUUUAAAAAGUAAAGAUGUGAGCAAUCUCAUAUCAGACUUAUGCAUCCAAAUGGCUCAUUAUACCAGCAGUAAUAGCUUGUGAUAGUCCUAUAGAUUUACAGUACUUAGGAAGAGAUGAUGCCCAACGUCCUUUCCCAACAAUCAUUAUGACAUGGGGAAAACCAGUGAUUUUCUUUAAGUCCAUUAGCAUAAUAUUUGUGCUUAUGAGGAUUAGACCAGCAGACACUUCACAGGUCUUUAGAAACAUAAGCCCAACACAUUCAAAUGGAGACUUUUUUUGGAACAAAGCUAUUAUCUCUCAAAUCACCCAAUAUUGCUGGCCAGUUUGGGGCAGCUGGGAAGCAGCAGGUGCUUCCACCCCAUUCCCUGCCUUGCCAGCCCCAGAAUUCCCAUUUCGUGAGCAGCUCAGCGCAUGGAACAAAACACAAGGAGGGAACUUCAGAUCAAAACGUUUAUUCUUCAUUGCAGCGGAUGAAACACAGGCACGAGGCUCCUGGGGGGGAGGUGUCUGAGCAAUCACACGUAAAACGUACAGCAUUUGCACUUGAAAUACACAGACCUGAAUCACAGCUGGGAUCAAUACAGGAGGACGAUAGAGAUUAUCAAUCUUGAGUGGUCUCCGUUACACAGAAUUGACUGGCAGCCACAUAAUGGCUCGGGCUCAGCCCACCAGUUUAGAGCCCGGGUGACAGAUCUGCAGACGCCAGCCAUCAGCAUCCCUCCUUGGCCCCUCUCACGUGCCCAUUUCUUCUGCUGUCCGGGUCAGCCUCCGAGGUGCGUCUGAGAGAUCAAUGCACAGCUACAGCUGGUUGAAGGGGACCAAAUCCAUUGAACAGUUGAUUUGGUUCCAUUUUACCAGCUUUAGCAAAGCAUUUGGCCUCACGCUCUGCAAAGCAAAGAGGGGAACUCCUCAGGGCCUUUUCCUUCACAGUCGCCAGGACCUCUUCUGAACUUGCUGCCUGACGUUGCACGGGUUCACAUGGCUUCGCUUUCAGGCAUUCAGGAUUUAUUUAAGCUUCUUAGCAGCUUUGGCUGAAGAGCGAGUCUGAAUUAAAGAGGCAGUUUUAAAAGCAGUGGAACAGUCUGCAGCACUCAGUGCCUGCCUGUAGCCUUUUAAACCCGGUGUUUGGCUCUGUUUUGAAGCUGCAUUGCUACCACAGUGUGACUGAGUAGUGUCCUAAUCCAGGUCAUUUAAUUGCCACCUCCAGCCUUCUUUCUUUCAGAUCUUUUGUCUGCUAUCCCCACCCGUGCCCUGCAUUCUGGUAACUCAAGUUUUCUCAUCUACCUUUAAAAUCAGUGCUUUCCAUGGCUUUCAGAUCUGUUGAAGACAAGCAAGGACUGUAUUUACCACCAUCGGGAGGGCGUUGAGUGGAAGAGAAAGCGGAGCAGCCCUGCAGCCUCCCAGCCCCAUCCUCUGCAAGGGCUCAGCCUGCAGCUCCCGGAGAGCCCCACGCUGUGAGCACCCACUGCUCCCAAUAACUCAGUAAAUCAGAUUUUUAAAUCACAGCAGCAGGAGCCAAUAAAGCCAGACCUCUCCUUCGUAACCCAGCGCCACGCGCAGAUAUUGCACAUCGCCACGUGCGUAACCUAUUUAAAGAAUUUACAUGCAUCGCGAGGCAAAGGUGACUUUUUCCCCCCUCUCCCUCACAGCCCACCGCACACACCACGACAUGACACCGAGAAAAAAGCACCUGUGCUGAAAGGCACUGCAUGCAGAGAUAUUGCAUGUGGGCCGGUAUUGCUGGUCCCCAAGAAAUCCAGGCUUUGCAUUGUAACAGUAAGUAGUGCAGAUCACUUAACUGCCCAGCCCCAGUACUGUAAGCUGCCUAUAAAUAAAUGCGGAGAGAGAGCGAAAGAGAGAGAGAACAUCUUUUUUAAAAGAGCUCUACAAUUAAUUUAAUCGAGUUAUCUCUAGGUACCUUUUCAAGAGACAAUCAAGCCAAGGAGCUAAAUGGAAACUUAGACAGUGAGGACCUAGAAGUAUUAAACUCAUCCUUUGGUGAGUUAUAGGAGGGAGGGAAGUAAUUAUUUACCAGAGAACGGGAGGAGGUGGAAGUGCCAGCAGUGACCGAUGCUGCACCGAGACUGCAAGCUAAACCCUGACGGGCAUAUGGAUUUUGGGAGGCAGAGCAAUGAACUGCCCGAACAUCAGCAUGGCGUGCUCCAGGUGCCCUUGUCCUGUCCCCAUCCCAUUGGUUUUGGCAGGAAGGGCGUUAAAACAAGCAUCUUCUGCUGGAGAUGAGUGCUGCUCUGUUCCCCUCGCUUUGCUUCAGGGAGUGCCCCGCAGCACAUCCGAAAUCAAUGCCAGCACGCGCCGACAUUCCGUAACGUUUUGUUUGAAUUCUCUGCAGUGAGUUAUGAGUGAGGUUUUCCUUUUUAGAAAAUUAGGUUUUCUCUUCUGGAUGCCAUUAAUCACGACUAACGAUGGCUCUGGCGGCGAGGCUUUCCCAGAACUGAGGAAAAGCAUCCCCACACCUCUGCUGCAGGGCUGCAGCACAUGGGGCUCACAGCCCCCACACACCUGGGCCCGGCCAGCAGUGCAGCAAGAGGAACUGCAGAGGCUUUGCUGGAUGUGUUCAAAGGUGUGAGCUGUGCUGAAACCCAGUCAGACCAGGCUUUGGUGUCACUUACCCUUCCUAUUGCCCUCCCAGGUUCAAGGACCGGGCGACCCAGCGCCACCAAAUUUAGGUUUGCUGUCUGAAGGUCAUCCUCAUCCAGUUGUUUCCUCCCAGCAGUGCUUGGAAUUGGGUCUCACUGGGAAGGUCCUUUCUGGUCGCUCUGUCCCUAGGACCCUGCCCAUGGGACCGACACCGCCCCAGCCAGGAAUGGCCACAUAGUGGAAUGGCACUGGGGAGAUAUAGGAACACAUCUCUGAAGCAAAUCCAAGGCAAAAUAGCAAAAUAAAGCUGUGCAUCUCAUUCCCCUCUCUGCCAGUCACUGUGUAAUGCCUCGGUUUUGCUUUUGGUCUAAGUGUCAGCUUUGCAGUUCAUGAUUACACUUCUGAGAGCAGCCAGAUCCCUGUGUUAUCAAAGCACUGCCAUGGCAAGUGGGGCCAAAAGUGGGCAACAUAAGAGAACCUGGGGCAAUGAAGACCUUUGUGCUUUAGCCUCAACAUUCUAAUGAAGAUGUUUUAUAUAGACAGCACAGAAUAGCCAAAGAAUUUAUCAACAUUUGUCGAUAUUCCUAAUGAAGCAGAAGAUUCAACAUGCAAUAGAAUUAGCCUACAAGGAACCCUUGUGUAGGGCCCAUCCUUCUGAGUCCAGAAAUCUCCUGCUUAUUCCAGUCCAAUACCCUUUUGAGAAAUGAACAUCUCUUGAAAUCAUUAUCAUUAUAAGCUAAAAGGCCAAAUGAGACAAAGUACUGUUGCUCUUCAUCUGAAUAAACAAAUCAUUUUUAGAUCAAAUGCAUUAACAAUUUAUCAUGCUAAAAUCCAAUCAAAAGGAAAAAACAACAAUACAGAACAUUGAUUUCUUACAGCUUUAUCUUAAUGAAGUGCACAUUCCCUCUGUAAUUAGCUUUGGAAGGUUUUUUUCCCUUUCCUCAAGUUAAUGUGUUAUUUGAUUUCCAUCCAAAUGUCACUAAAUCUGAGGAAUUUUCCCCAAAAUGAAGUGGCUUUUGAUAAUACAGGAAAACGUCUGCUCUCUCAUUUGGCUAUUUUUCCCCCAAACAGCCAUACUUGUACUGCAGAUGAUUCAACUUUAUUGCAUGGUGUCUUUGCGAGGAUGUUUAAAUCAAUGCCACAGUUGCUGUAUUCUGCACAAUGUGCCAUUUGUAAGCCAGAAAAUACAACCUCGGUGCUUUUAUCCUUUUUCUUACAGACAUAAAAUAUUAAUUUAAUUUAUAUUAUUACAGGGGAAAAAGUGGACUGUGUUUUAUUAACAUUUCUAAAAUUAUAGGUAUUCAACCCAAAAAAUAUGCUUCAGCCAAGGCUGGGAAGUCUUCCGCUUGGAUUUUAUUUGACUUAAUUAAAAAGCACUCAGUUCCUAUGGGCACUAAAGGAGCUGCUGACAGUGCAGUAGCCACUCAGUCUUUCAAAACUAUUACCUGAACUUAAUAAAGUGUCUAUUUAGUUUAUACACCUCCAUGAUCCCACCUGUCUCCCACCAACAUGAUGCAAUUCUUGCUAAUGGCUGGAGAAGGCAGCGGGUUGAUGGCAGCCCACAGGCACCCCAGGCAGAACAAUUCCCAUAUCCUAUUGCCUGCCCUAUCUACCUUUAAUCACAGGGUCACAGAAUGGCUUGAUUUGGAAGAGACCUUUAAAGCCCAUCUGGUCCAACCCCCCGCAAUGAGCAGGGAAACCCACAGCUCCAUCAGUGCUCAGAGCCCCUCCAGCCUGACCUUGGGUGUCUCCAGGGAUGGGGCACCUCUCUGGGCAACCUGUGCCAGUGCUUCACCGCCCUCAGCAUAAAAACCUUCUUCCUCAUAUGCCAAUAUCCGAAGCGUUCAAAUCUCCACCAUGCUUGUAAUGAUCAAUGCUAGGAAAGCUUUUUCCCGGCUGCCUCUCUGCUCCUCCACUACAUAUCUCAUUUAAAUCUUUUCUUCUUUAAAUGAUGCUGAACAGAGGACUAUUGCUUUCAUCCUGCUUCACUGAGUAUUUGCUGAAAUGCAGUGGCUAAUUUGAUAGUCCGGUUUUAUUUGGACGUACUGUCGAGACAGAGAGCAAGAUCUAUAACAGAGAAUAUAACCCCAAAUCCUACCAAUUACCAGCUUAUUCCUUAGUUAUACAGGAGACCACAAGUGACCUUAUCAAAAUCUUGACUCUCAAUAUGAACAUCUUCGUCUUAAUCCAAAUUUCACCCUGGAGCUGAAGGUCCUGCUUCAUACACAGCCUAAGAACUGCGGAGCAUCCAUUGCAGCAGGGAGCCCACCCCUGGGACAGGGCUGCCCGCCGAGAGCUGCAGCUCCUGGAACUGGCAGCAGAAAUAGUUUGGAGUUUGGAUUUUUAAACUCACACACUCAAAGAGAACAAAGCUGUUCCCUAAUACACUUUGUGCAUUUUAUGGACCGAACAAUUAAAGAGGUUUUAAAACAUCUGCUGACUGCAUAAUUCCAUACAGGGGAGUGUACUCAGCAUUUUUAAACAACAACGGGUACGAGAUACCACUUAACAGUACAAAACACCAUCAGUCCCGUUAAAAUCAAUAGAAAAUUAGAUGCUAUGAAAAUGCAAUAUGUGUCCAAUUAGUUAUAAUUGGAGCAAAUGGUGAUGCAGAUAAACUCCUGGAGUAAGAUGCAUUUGUCCGGCCCGCUCCCUGCCUGCUUUCGGCACAGCACGGUAUCGGCAGUGGCAGGCUCUGCUGUGCCCCAUAGCAUGAAGGAUGAUCCCUCUAAUACACGUAUGUUAACUGUUAUCUAAUUAUGGAGCUGCUCUGAGCCUGCAGGACUGUUUCGGUGCCCCACCGUGCGCGGUGAAAAAUGAUCCUCUGUCACACGGAAACCUCCCUGUUGUACUUGACAAAUUAUGCCAGCAAACCUGUUUAAGAACUAAAAAAUCCUUGGACGCGGUGACAGGCCAAGAAAUAUGUUGUUUGGGGACAGAUAUUUAUUUAUUUAUCUGGCAGAGGUUAAGAGCCACCACUCGGUUCACUUCUCCCCUGCCUGUCUCCGUUCUGGCAGCUCAAAAUCCGUCUCACCGAUUGUUUCGCCGGUUUCUUUCAACUCAUAAAAACUCCAUUGCAAGGCAAAACAGGAACUAGGUUAUGCGAUGCCAGCGCUUUAUUUUUAACAUCUCCCCUGCAACACGUUGGCCUCCUCUUGGUUUAAUCUUACAACUAAAGGAAUAAGAGCGACGGUUCCGCACAUCCCCAACCGAGUAUUGCCGCCGGCCGCGCUGCCAACCCUCCGUGCCCUUGCAGGGUAUGGAAAUGUGAAACUACUCACGUUGCUCUCAGUACAACCCAUAUUAACUUUGGGGGGUAUUUUUUUCAUAUAUUUGUCUAUAAAGUAGAGAUUACUUUACACAAACAAUUAGCUCAGAGGUAAGAAGCUAUAACUACCGGCAGGGCUCUUAUUUUAUUCCUGUUUUCUGUUAAUAUUAUUAUUCUAAUCAGCAGUAAGGACUGGUGGGUGCAAAGAAAAGCUCCUGUUUGCCCGGCCCUGAAACCUCCUUGUGUUAUUGCUGCUGUUACUUACACGGGAAAGGGAACUGUCUCUUGAGGAAGGGAAAAAAAUGGAGGUGGCAGCUUUUAUUUGUUAAGCUGACUCAGCUGGACAGUGGAACAAGAAAUGUUCAGAUCCAAUCCAUAACUUUUGUGGCCGCUCUAAGGACGUAUUCUUCCUCGACACUGAUAAAAGUUUAAUAUGGAGUUGCCCAGGUUUUUAAUAAACUUGUCAACAAAAGAGCAAGGCAAAUUGAUGGGGACCUUCCCAGGAAUAAAUUCCACUUCAAAUAGGCCAAAUGAGUGUGGAGGACAGAGAGGGGAAGGUACACGGGCAGCUUCUGCUGUUCUUUGCAAAAAUGGCACAAUGGAUUUUAGUGGGUGCGUAUGUGUGUGCGUCUUAUUAUCUCUGAGACAAGGCUUUAGGACAAAGCUUAAAUUAAAGAACACAACCUGGUGUGGCUCAGAGCCCUGACACGGCAAGGAAGGGAAGGGACAAAGCUCCGGCACUGAUUUAGCGGUGAAGCCAUUCCCCACUAAGGAACUGCCAUCUCACCCUGCGAGUAGUGCCGCAUCUCCCAGUGCACCUGAAGGCUCCAGGCAUCUCCUACCCAGACUGUGGUCACUUUGGGACCAUCCCCAACACACUCUGCAACAACCUUUACUCAUACGCUGAGUAUCACCUGUGCCCACCCAUGCAUCACCUGCCCGCCAGCAGACCCUCUCUACUCUGACCUGUGAUGCCAACAGAGUUUUAUCCCACAUCCCCCACUACGCACAUCACAUUUCAGCUACUGCCUGCGCGUUUAUCUCCACUCAGUCAAACCAAUCCCAUUCACUGCUCAAUUUUUUUACUUCCAUACAUCAUGAGCUGCCUCCAGGCACCACACCGCCCCUUCCCAUGGCAUUGACUGCAGGCAUGGCAGGAGGGGCACACACUGCAUGCUCUGCAAGCUUGGGAUGGAAAUCUCUGCACGAGAUGCAUUAUUUUCUAUUAGCCUCCAUCAAGCUGGUGCCUUAAAUUAUUAAGCUUUGUUGUGGUGUUGGUUUGUUUUUUUUUUUAAUUUGUUGACCUGAAGUAAACACAAGUAUUAAAUCAGAUUCCAAUAAUCUCACUGACAGUAAAUUAACUCAUUGUGUCCUAGAGGGGGACGCAACCGCAUCUUGGCCACUCUGAGCAAUGCUUCACCAUCCCUGCAGAUUCCACAUGCAUGCAAUGGGGUAAAAAGCAGAAGGCCAGAUCCUGCCUCCAACCUUGGGCCAUGUCCCAGAUUGGAAGCUCUGCCUGGAUGCCGCGAUGAAAUUUAUUCCUGAUCAUUCUUAGGUCACCGGAUUCCUGCUCCGGUAGCUUUACCCGACCCCCCAAAUGCCAGGGUCGACGUGCCUAUGUAAGGGCUUUGCAGGGACGGCUCCUGCCCUCACAGCUGCUUGGGGACUUCUGCAGCCGGUGGUCACGAGCCCCUGGCUGCCCAGAUGCCACCUAAUCCGGCCCGGCAGAGGGGCAGCUGAGAAUGAGCACUAUUUAUACCAGCUGCUGCUGGUCCCGCUGGGCUGCCUGUGGCUUUUUUAGCUAGCAGCUCCCAUCCCAGCGCAGGCCAUAUCUGGACAUGGCACAGGCAGAGUGCUGUGCUUCGAGAAGAGAAGAAAGAAAAAAAAAAGAGGGAAAAAAGGAAAAGCUGCAUCUGUUUUAAGAUGUCAGGCACCCUGUUUCCAUCAAAGCAUCCUGAGCACCACCAAAACUGCUCCAACUGCUAAAAGCUUCACUAUAAACUUGCCUCUUAUUCCAAGUGUGUCUGUCCUCUGACAACCUUCCACCCGUGCACAUGGCUAUUGGCCUCUGUUCCUUCAUACAGACCUCUAUGCAAGAAAUGCAAGCUCAAAGCAAGGGUGAAUGCUGACACUGCUUACACAGUGUGAGCAGAAUCUCCUUUGGAGAAUUACAGGGUGUCAGAGGAGGCAGGCGGCUUGGAGCUCUGCCUGUUGAGGAGGCUGCACAAGACUUUGCAUUUUGGCCAUUACACACUCAGAAUGAGCUUGUUCUUGGGUAAUUGCACCAAGACCUUCUCCAGUCCUAUCCCUGCAAUGGCUUCAGCAUCUCUACAUGAGCAGCCCCCUCCCUCUGGGGGAAUGCAAGGCAGGGGAGCAGCAUAGCUGCCUGCAGCCCAGCAAGCAGGCGGUGCAAUGAGCUGCACUCGCCAUGACCCUGCAUCCCAACAGGGAAGCAUCUUGCUGCAUGAUGGCUUCAGGUCAAGAGCAACUUCAGCAGAAAGCGCUAAACUGAGCGCCUUCACUGGGAGGGAAUCGCUGAAAUCAGCGCCCGGCUUUCAGGGGAGGGAUGCGAGCUCCGGAGCGAGGAUAUUUCUCUUGCAAGGAACACACCACCCCCUCGCCCACAGCCACCGUGAAGUGCAAGAUGUGGUGAAACUCUUUAAAAAUAGAUAUAUUCCCAAGCAAUACAUGCCGCUCGCAUCUGGCAGGGCAAACCUAGCAUGGAAGCUCUUGCUUACAGACUAAAAAGCCUCGGAGCAGCUCAAGGCUCCUGCAACCUUGUCUCUCUCCUCGAUUCUUCAGAGCCCGCUCUUGUUCUUGGCCUAACCCAGUCCUGGGAAGCACAAGGGAAGCCCUGCCCAGCUAGGCUGGUGUCAAAGGCAGGGAAAGAUACUGCAGUGCAGUGCUGAUCUCUUCUGCAAUCGGACGUGCAGACUAGCCCGAAUGCUGAGUCAGCACAAUUUCUUUUUUGAUUGGUUGAUCCGAGUAACAUACUUUCAAUGUAUGCUAAAGGGGCAGCAAUUAAUAUGUUUUCCCCCCGUUCUCCACCUUUCCAAACCUCCUCAAAUCAAACACACAAAUCUCACCCCCAAAGUCACUCUCUGGUCCUAAAUAUUCUGAGGCUCUUUCAUUUUUAAUUUAGGGCAUUAAAAAAAAAAAAAUUUGCAAUCUAAGCGAUGCUCACUUUGAUCGACUUGUGCUGCAGCAGCUAAAAUAUCUGUCCUGCAGGUCAAUCUAAUCAUGCUUAAUAGCAGUUUAUUCUUCAACGCAACAUUUUUCACAUUGGGUCGACAGUUUUAAAUGAGAUUGCUGAUGCACCCCUUUACUAAUGCUUUCACCAGGGCCAGCACAUCCCUUGAAAUACUCGUGCAAUAAAAUGAAUGCUUUAUUGCUCUUGAUGAAUGCACUAUUAAACUUGAAUUGCAAAUAUGCCCCCCCCCCCCUUUUUUUUUUUUUUUUUACAAAAGAAGAGUGCUGGGAUUUAUUGGACCACCUGUCUUCCAGUAUUAAGUAAUAGCAACAAAAGUAAUAAUAGCUCAUCAACAUAAACACAUGAAAGGGAAAAAAAUAAUUCAGGGGAAAACACACAGCACGAAUUCAUCCCCGUGCUCCCAUGCGCGUGUGCAAAAUUCCCAUUCUAUACCUGCCCGUAGUUCCUCUUAUGUGCAGAAAAUUCAUCUCAAGAACGGAUGGGUUUUGUGAGGCAUAGAAUAGGAAAACGUAACUAAUUUGGUCCACUGGAUUUAUGGCUUUUACAGUCCUCAGAGCUCCCGUUUCUGCUGGUGGGACCGCUCAGUGCGCGCUUUGCGGGACGGAUGGGCACAGCCGAGCAUCGCGCCUCGCUUCAGCACAGAACCUGCAGCUCUGCUCUAUGGAGAGCGAAGGAGAAGAGGCUUUCUUCAAGCUAAGAAAUAGGGAGGACCUAGUGUGGAGGAACAGUCACAGUUUUAAUCCAAACAAGAAGAAAAGCGAGAAGGAGCUGGAGCUAAGAGUAAGAAUGGCGCAAACUGGUGGACGAUGCUAAUGACUAAAGGGCUGACGUGGUUUUGGGGUCUUUACAGCAUUUCUAUUUAUUUUUUGGCAUUGCCACACUGCACCAGAGAUGGGGUAGGGUCUCAGGAUGUGUUCUGCACCCACACACCUCCACCACGUGGCUCCCACACCGUGAGACAGAGCUGAGUUAUGGUUUUGAAAAUAUUUACAUAAAAAUAAAUCUGAACACUUAGUGACUUCCUAAAGUUAGCAAUUCCGUGUGAUUAACAAGCAUAUUAAUUCAGAGAGGGGGAAGGAGAUAAAAAUUGCAUUAGGGAUGCAGGUAUCUGUUGUAAAUCAGACCAUGAGCACCUUCGCUAGAGAUAUGCACAGUGAUGUGGAAGGCUCAGUAACACCCGCGCUGAGAAUGCAGAGAAAGAGAAGAAAACAAGAAAAAGAAAGAGCAAGACAAUGAGAGAAUGAAAGAAAAGAGAAAAAAAAAAAGAAAAUAAAGAAGAGAAAAAUAUAAGAGCGGAGUUGAAAGCAAGAAAGCAAGCUAGAAAUAAGGAGAAAAUGAGAAGCACACAAGUAGAAGACAAGGAAAGAAGGAAGGAGAGGAAAGCAGUGAGGAAAAGGGAAUCGAGAAGAGGUAGGGUAAAAGGUCACCUGGGAGAGGAGGGAAAUUGCUAUUGUGGCCAGAAUGGUGAGAAUCAUCCCCAUUUUUCACACAGCAAGUCAAGCUCCCAGCAGUGAUGUACAAGUGAGAGAAAUUGCAGCCCUGUUUGGCCAUGGGAACUCUGCUGCUCCGUCUCUAUUCAUUUCCCAGCACCUUUGUAUUUAAUUGUGGCCCCAAACUGGGGCAGGACACCCUCAGUGGCUGGGACCCAUCCCUGUCCAGGGGACAAUGCCUCUCCUCAAAGCACCUGGCAAAGCAGAGGUCCCUCCUCCCCCAAGCAGAGGUUGAGCACUCCAUGUGUGUCCACCACUUGUAUCAUCUUUCUAAAAAAAGAAAGAUUUAUAAAACUUACAGAAUUCUGUACAUUGGAAAUCUCCUUAAGAGCCCAGCCCUCCUUACUUAACCUGCUAUUCACAAGUGCCUGCUUUCCGUUAAACCCCAUUUGGUGUACGUGUAACAAGUGGCAGCAGUGCUUGCCAUGAAUCACAACAAACUGAGGCUCAGCAAAGGCCUUCAGAGCACUUUUGCCAAGCACAGAGAUGUGCUGAAACCAGAGGGAACUUGCUCCAGAGCAGAACACUGCUGUGCCCUCGGCUGCACGGCGGGGUGAUGGGGAUAAGUUUGCGAGUAGGUGGGAUGGAGAAAUGCAGUGCCUAACAGCCCAGAUAUGUGCAUCUCAUAAGCUUGAGGAAAAUGGGGGCUGAAAGCUUCACCCGCCCCUACCCAGACAGAAAGUUCUGAUUGUUCGCACAGAACGUUACACCCAUUUGUAUCAUUGCAUCUCACUGCCGUGGGAUGCUGGGAGAAUAACCAGGUGUUUUACGAUGAGAAAGGUUAAAAAGGAAAACCAGAACACCAGGAAAGCUUCUCAAAUUCAAGGUGCUAUUUUCCUUAUUUCCCUCUAAUAACCCUCUAAUAACACACACUGGGAGCGCUCACUGCCUCUGGCUGGGAGCUGGGCACCCACUGGCCAUGUCCAAGGGCCAACACACGCACAGUGAACAUUGCUUCCUCUCCAGCAUUAAGCACAAAAAGUUUUAACACAGGAAACAUCCCAAAAGCUGUCUGCGUAUUUACGUGAAGCCAAAAUACUGCACCUCCAAGUCACAACUCCUUCCCUUCUUCUCCCCGCCUCCAACUCCUUUCCUUUUCCCUAGGAUUAAGGACCAGCUCUUUUACCCAGCCUUAUUUUUGGGAAAAAGGGCCGAGGGGGAAGCAGCAAUCCGGAGGGACUGGUCUGUAUCCCCGCUGAAAACCAGGAGUGGACAGCCAGCUUUCCUCUGGCAUCGCCUUUCAAAGCCCAUGCCGCAGUCAGCAUAUUGAAUAUUUAAUGUCCUGAUGAGCAUUUCCACCUGCUGACACAGGCAAAGUGACAGAACAAUACACGCACUGGAACAAGAUCACCAAUUGACUCCCCAGCCAGUCUGCCAUGUCAGGCAUCUCAAAAAAAAAAGACAAAAAUCUGUCUGUCUUCCUCCCCCCCCCCCCCUUCACACGGGGUCAUACAUUGCUCCUCCGAGAAGAGUUCCCACCUGAAAUACAUACUUCUUUACAUUCCAUAGAUUGCCAGGUUCAUAUGGGCAUAUAAAGAAGUAUGUCUCUCAAGCAGGUAGGUUCAAUAUGCGCAUUUAUAUGUACACGGGAGGAAAUAGGGCUGGCGUGCCAUUUACUUCCCAGGAGUGAGUUACAGCACAGUUUGAGGCAGCCCAUGUGCAAAACACACACAUGCAUGCACACACACACACACACACACACACUCACUCCCCUUGCUGGUCAUUCCGGCUCUGCCCCUGCAGGUUGCUGGGGUUUAGGGCUGGGAAGAGGCAGUGGGCAAUGCCUGGAGUGCCUGCAGCACUUUGUCAUGGAAUGGCACAGAGGAAAAGCCCCACUCCCAGCCCCCCUACAAAGAGGAUGCUUUCACUGAAAUUGCAAACUUUCAGCAAUUAAAAAGGCUUUAGUUGAAGGAAUUUGCUUUCUGUGUAUAUAUAUAUAUAUAUGCAUAUAUAUAUGUGUGUGUAUAUAGAUUUAGACAAAGCCAUGUGGGUGGAGGUUAAGUAGAUAUCAAAUCCCGAUCGCCUCCAUCCUGCAAUUUAGAAACAAGAAGCCAAUUUGCUUUCAGAAAGCCAAAAUCCAGCAUCCGGCACUGAUUUACAAAGCAACACCAGCAAGAAGUGCUCCAUCUGGCAGAGCAAGAGAACUCACCAGCUACAGACACGCCAUCGCUUCCAGCACUAAGUAGAGAUUAAGGCAUAGGAAGAAGAAAGCAUCUUACCUAAAGAAUCCAGUGAUUUUUCCUCUGCUGGUCACCGUGAGUGUGACACUACCUUGCAGCAAACAAUCCCCAAUAUACCUUGGGAGAAGGGCGGGGGAUUUCGGGGUAUUCAAAAAACGUAUAUAAAAAACAAUUCGCUUUUCACAAGUCAUCCAGCGGAGCCCCACACCUGGGGUAGACACCAGCAGAGAUGCAAACUAAAAAGCAGCCCCAGCCCCGUGCUGGUGGCUUAGGCCAAAAAAGUCUUUCGGAGUUGUCCCCGUGGGGCUCAUCCCCACACGCAGCCAUCAGUUCCCGUUGCCUCUGCCCUCCGCCAGCAGCCACGCUGAGCUUUAAAGCUCCGGAACAAUGUGGCUGGGCUGAAUGCAGGGCGGCAUUCCGGAGGUCACGGCGGGCGCUGCCGCUCGCUCAGCACAGCGGGUGUGCGCUCACCUGCGCCCCUCGCCCCGCCGCCGCUCGAUUGCAAUUUGCAGGCGAAAUGCACAACGCCUGCCUCGACGCUAAUGAAUUUGGCCAUUUCUCACCGGUUUCUAAUGAAGCCUUUAAAGAGGGUUUAAGUAAACUUAGCAAGUGGCAAAGUAAGCACUUUGGAAUACUUAAUUGUAUCGAUGUGUUGGGUGGUUUUUUUUUUUGUUUUGUUGGUUUUUUGUUUGUUUUUUUUCCGCUGCUUUGUGAAAUAUAUCACUGGGAGAGUGGGAGUAAAUACUUCCCUGUGCUGAUUGACUUCCACACCAUCAGGCUGCAAAGCCCCGCAGAGCCGGGGUGCAAACCCAUGGGCUCGCCCCAACCCCUCAGUGCCACGCACCACGCAGCAGAGUGGGUGUGAGCCCAGUGCUGGUUCGGCACUGUGCCCUUCCUCACUGCCACAGGGCUUCUGGCCCCACUAAAUGUCGUCAUUUGUCUCAUUUUGAGGCAAAUUUCCACCACUGGUUUGGAGUAAUGGGAAGAGAGAUGGAGCUGUGGCACCAUGAUAAUGCAUGACUGCAGUGAAAUUAAAGUGAAGGGAGAGGAGCGUGAGGGAAAGCCUGGGUGCUCCGAUUCUAAAAAGAAUUCCUCAAAAGCCCACAAAGAACUGAGUUCAGGUGGGUUUCACAUGGCCAAGUCGCUUGGCCAUGUUGAAUUCCCCUCAGACAAACACCAACAGGCCAAGCAACGGAACAGAACAGCUACUUGACGUCUUGGACCAUUGCACAUUUCACCUCACUCCCGAUUUGCUUUCCUGAAAUCCACCUGCCAUGGACUGUCCUGAACUGUCCCAAACUUCUGCAGAUGAGCAGGAGAAGGGGAUGCCAGCCAACUACAGGGAACUAAAAGACGGCACAUAAAAUCCUUACAAAUAUUGAAGACAGUGGAACAACCGCAGCAGGGAGGUUCAUCUGUUGGUUGCUCCCAGAAAGGCGGUGGAUCUAGAUUUCAAUCUGCCCGUGAGUUGUAGGGUUGGCCCUGCUGGUGGAGGAGCAGACAUGCGGCGUGGUGGUGAUUUAAUGGUGACGCCAGAGGCACUUUGUGGUCCACAUCCUACAGUGAGCACCAGGAGUAAUGGGUGGUGGGCGAGCAUCGCCCAGCAUCCUCCACACACCUCGGCUCACCCAGAGCAGAAAAAGCUGCACAAUAAAAUUGUGGUUGUUGUGGGGGGAAAAAUGCAUGGGAAUGUGGAUAGUGCAGAGUGCAAGGAGCAAAUAAAAGGGAAGGAUGGAGAUGGAGGGAUGGAGGGAGUGGGAAGGAUGGAAGCAUGAUGCUGUACACCUGCUCCCUCUAUCCCAUUCUGGAGGAGCUCCUCCAGUCCCGGUGGCAAAGUCAGGCUGUGGCUGUGCAGUGCAAAACUUCAGGGACUUGGAGGCAGCCUGGUUUGGGGCUGGGCACAGCCAAGGAAAGCCAGCAGGGCCGAGCUGCAGGGAAUGGACCAGGCUCAGUCCUUUGGGGCGGCAGCAUGGCCACCCGCACCAGGGAACCAGCAAUUAAACUGCCAGCCAGAUCACAGGGCUCUGCCUCCACAAUUACACACGACUGCUGAGUGCACACUCUCUCCAGCACAGACAUAUGCAAAUAGCCAUACUCCAAGCACAGACUGAAGGUGCAUUGAAUUGGGAUCAUGUGCUACACCUGUUUAUAAUAGCAUUUAAUAUCUCUGUAUAAAGCCGUGUAAAAUAUACAUAUGCAUGCUAUAAAAGAUAUCCCAGUUUGUGUGCAUGCGUGUAUAUAACACAGUACCCCUCACACAAUACCAAUGCAUAUACAUUUAUGUGAUCAGGUAUCACCACUAUCAUAUAAAAUAUAAUGACCACAGCUAACUCUCAGCUGCAAAAGCAAUAACAGCCGAUUGAUGGAUGAAGUGUAACCUGAAUUCAAACCCCUUGCAGGGAAAACCUAACUUCUCCUUGCAUCUCCUUUCUGAUUGCCCACAAGCCAUGCGUCCGCAAUUAACGCUCAGUUCUCGGCAUUGGAACAGUUAAUCACCGCAGCACUGAGAUCACUGCAAGUUAGGCUAAGUUUAACCACAUUUCACCCUUUUGCUCUGUUUGGUAUUAGCUCAGAGCCACUAGUUUGGUGCAAAUAAAUAAAUGAAGCCCCAAUCCCCCUAGGUGUCAUUAGCCAGCCUGGCUCUGAAUUAGGCAUUUAAAGGCCAGUUUAACCUUGCAGAACGGCUGCAUGUCAAAGUUCUAACAUUUCAGUUCAGAUUAUUAUAGUGCACUGCUUGCUCUGCAGUUUGUUCCUUUUUUUUUUCCCCCCCUUUAAAUGCAGAGUAUGCCACAGCAGAACAACAACAACAAAAAAGAAUAAAGGUGGGGGGAAGGUCUCCCAACUCAUCCAUGGAUUAGAGGCAGCCGGCACAUCCCCACACAGACACACACACACGCAGCACACACACAUUUGCCGGAUGCAAAAGCAGACAUUUAAGUCCCCGGGUAAGUUGGAUGGGCACUCAGUCCUGCAUCGGUCAGAAAAGUGUUUAAAAACGAGCUGAGCUAGUGCAGUUAGAGGGAAGAAAGGGAGCAGAAGAGGGGAAGGAAAAAAAGAGACAUACCAGUUAGGAGCUUCUGUUGCAGCAGAGGACUCACCAGAGCACUAGCUGAAAGCUGAAUCAGCUUUCGAGAGUUAGGGAUGCAUAGAGGAGGGUCAUGGAAUCACAAGGUAAUAAUGCGCUUCAUGCUGCAGCCGUCAGCCUUCUCCUUAUAGCCAAUCUCUAAUGCAGGAAGGGAAAAAGAGAGCAGGCCCAGUGAUGGUAUUAGUCCUCACUUGGAGGAAAAAAAAAAAAAAAUUAAAAAAAAAAAUCAUCAGGCAAACCUCCCCCCCACCCUUACCUCACCCCCUCCGCCCAGCACCACUACAACUCCAUCCCUGCUGCUGCAUCGCGGCUGGGCGGUGGGGGGAGGAAGGCGGCAGGCAGCGCGGUACAGCGGAGGCUGAGCAGCGGAGGCUGAGCGGGGGGAGCGGGGCUCCGGGGAGCGCCGGCGGCGGCUGGCGAGGCGGGGGUUAAGGAGAAGGGACCCAACCCGCCCGGAUUGCAGCACACCUGGGUGCGAAAUGGGGCUGUCCCCUCUCUAGAUCCCCUCCUUCCCAAGGGUCAGCCCUGGGUUGGGGUCAGCCGCCGGGAGGGGUACGCACACACGCACCCAGGGGGGAGAACGAGGGGGGCAAGCGCUGGUCAGGAAGCGGGUCCACCUUUCCAGUGCUUAUAUACCCAGCGAAGCAUCCGAAACACGCACCACCGGGCGAGCGGCCCCUGCUCGUGCUCUUUCCUCCC